UUUUCCCAACAGAUCAGUGUACUCCUGGAAAGGUGACUUUGUGAAGCGGGUUUCCCUCCAGAAGUCAGGAGUCAAGAACCCAUAGGUCCUAAGAAGGCAAUCAAAAGUGGCCUGCAUUGGACACGGAAUGUGGGUCGAUUACAUCAAAAGAGAACGACAACAAAAGAACAAUAAAAUUAAACUAUAAAGAAGCAACCCAUCAAGUAAUCCAUCAUAAAAAAAGCAAGAGCAUUUAGUUCUACUUAUUACUACUAGCAGGUGUUUAGGGACAGCCAACUCAAACCAUUGUCGCAUCUCAUUUAACUAUAUCAUAUUAUAAGCUACUAAUGAACUAUGGUGGAAUGGAAGAAAAGAAAUGGUAAAAAAGAAAAUUUUCAUCUUAAAUAAAAUAAAGCAGACGUGAUUUUUGGGCAUCUUGUACUUUCACGAUCAUAUGCAAAUAAGCAAAGCAUCAGUAAAUGAUGAUGACUGUCAUUAGAUCAAACCAACAAAAUAAAGAAUUCAGGAACAAUCCAAUCAUAAUAGAAACAGUGAGCAGAUGCAUGACAAGUCUUAAGAAAUUCGUUACAUUCAACUAGCAAACAAGAAAUCAUGAAAUUUUUUUUUUGUGUGUGUGUGUGUGGAAUCUUCAGAAAUUCAUUGCAGCCAUUAGCGUAAUAGGACCACAAACCUGACAAUAUAGUCUAACACAAAGAGAGAUUAAACAAAAGAACUUGUGGAAUCGCAAUAAAGCCCAACAAUGAGAAACAAAUAUACAUAACAAUAUAGUCUAAGAAAUAAUAUUUCAGCUCCUAAACAAAAUCAACAAUAUGAGACAUCUAGAAUAAAAAUAAACCAAACAUAACAAACUAUAGAAAAUGUAGCUUCAAUGCUCUUAUAUAAACAAUUAGCUUCCCAUAUAACAGUAUAAGAAAACAUAAGAGAAGAAUAAAAAGAACAGACCUUCACGAAAUUUCCAAGAGUCUUGGUAGAGCCCCUGGAUGAGGUGAACACAUCCUCAAUUCCAGCAAACUGCAAAACCUUCUUGGGGACUCGAGCAGCGACAAUCCCAGCACCACGUGGAGCAGGCCCCAUUCUCACUGUAACGGAUCCACACUUGCCAGUCUCCUUGCAAGGCACUGUAUGUGGCUUUCCGAUCUUGUUACCCCAAUAGCCUCUCCUCACUGGUAUCACAGACAGUUUGGCUAAAAUGAUUGCGCCACGAAUGGCAGUAGCAACCUCCUUCGAACACUUGACUCCCAAUCCGACGUGGCCAUUUCCGUCGCCAACGACCACAAAGGCCUUGAACCUUGUUCGCUGACCCGCACGGGUUUGUUUCUGCACGGGAGUGAUCUUCAUGACCUCAUCCUUGAGGGAUGGACCGAUGAGAGUGUCGACGAUCUGGUGCUCUUUGAUUGGGAGAGAAUGAAGGUAUAUCUGCUCUAAGCUUCUGAUCUUGCCUUCUUUAACCAAACGUCCGAGUUUAGUAACUGGCACCCACUUCUCCUCCUCAUCACGGCGAGCACGACGUCGGCCUCUUCCUCCGCGGUCACCACGAGGGGCACCGCCGAAGCCUCGGCGAAAGGCACCUCUUUCUCCUCCAGCUCCUCUUUCCGCCAUGGUUUUAGCUAAGGGGGGUUAGGGUUGAGAGAAAGAGAAACGAGUAUAGGUCUUCAAGAGAAGAAGCAAAUUGGUGGUGUAUCUAAGGGAAAGUAGAUACGGCGGGGUUAAGAGUUAUAUAUUGCUAGGGUUUUGCAGAUGCGAACGUAGUCUGCAGAACUUAGAAGGGUAAUGGGCUGGGCUAAGAUCACAUAAUUUUAAAUGGGCUGUCUCUGCGGGUCCAACGCUGCUAGAAGUCAAUAGCUACUAUCUUUUCUGCUUGAAGAAUUGGGCCCUGCUUGAAUUCAUCUGAGCUCCUCUCUUUAGAUAUUGAUCUAGUGAUAUUAACUUCCCUGGACUGUUUUUUUCUCUCUUUUUCAUAGGGUGAUAAUACAGGCAUUCGAAUGAACUUUUUGACGAAUUUAUUCAAUUUACUUCAAACAUAAAGUAUUAUGUUCGGUAUUAAUUCUACAUAUCCAGAUAGCCCAGGUUGAUCCAAAGCAGAAAUCACUUUUAUAUUAAUUAAAAUUGUUGGUCAAUCAACAAAAUCGAAUCGAUAAGUUGCAUAUAUAUGUGUAUAACUUUAACUAAAGAAUUAUUUGAGAAGUUACACUGAUAUAGUGACAUAUAGCGGCGAUGAAACUGCGGGUGACUGAUAGAAAAUGGCUAUUCUACGAUUAAAAAAAAAAAAAGUCCAUUGGAAUGAACAAAAAUCUCUUCUGAUAUGGAGUGAGUAUCAAGUCAUAAUGAGCUUCACUUACCCCCAAAACAAAAGAGAGAAUCAUGGAUUUCUAACUUCUGCCUCGAGACUUGGAUAAACAAGUAACAAAAAAAAAUGAAGUGAAAACUGAGAUGCUAAGAAAACUUAGGAAAGCAAACAAAUCCAUUUCCACCUUCGUCAAAACAAAACAAAUACUAGAUCCCGAAAAAUCAAACAAAACCGUUAAAAGAAAAAGAUAGCGUGCUUAAAGUCUUAAGAACUAUGGGGUAAUUAACAUGAAUUGUUCAUCCCUAUAUUUUCUCAUAUUUGAGAACUCAGUCUCAUUUGUCUGCGUCAAGCUUCAACCCUCUCCACUUCUUCAAUCAGGACUUUUGUAGGUUUUCCCAACAGAUCAGUGUACUCCUGGAAAGGAGACUUUGUAAAGCGGGUUUCCCUCCAGAAGUCAGGAGUCAAGAACCCGUAGGUCCUAAGAAGGCAAUCAAAGGUGGCCUGCAUUGGACAUGGAAAGUGCAUAGAUUCAAUCAAAAGAGAAUGACAACAAAAAACAAUAUAAUUGAACUAUAAAGAAGCAUCUCAUCAAGUAAUUCAUCAUUGUGAAGAGAAUACCUAGUCCAUAAUUCAAAAGCAUGAGCAUUUUUUAGACACUGGCAGAAAGAAAUCAUUACUUCUUUCAUAAGAAGGCUAAUAGUAUCUAUUUCUCAACAGCACCAGUAAUGGAAAUCCAUAACUAUAUGGUAAACAAAAGCAUUCCGUUCAACUUCCUAAUACCUGGCAGGUGUUCGUGGAAAACCAACUCAAUUCGUAGUGGCAUUUCUUCCAAAUAAAUAAUAUUACAAGCUAUUAAUAACUUAUGGAAAAAUGGAAAGAAGAAUUUUCAUCUUAAAUAGGGCUGAAAUGAUGUUAAGUAGCUUCUACUUUCAGAUUCAUGCACAAAUCUACAAAUUAAGGAAUAUUCUAUUACAUUCAACUAGCAAACAAGAAACAAUUAAAUUCUGAUUUUUAGGAAUUUCCAGAAAUUCAUUGCAAGCCAUUAAACUAAUGGGAACACAAACCGAUAAUAAAAAGAAAACACGAACUUGUGGAAUGACAAUCAAUCAGAAGACACGUGUAUUUAGACCCACUUAAAAGCCAAUAAACUUAAGCUUAGCUAUGCUAAUUCGAAGAAAUUCUAAUAUUGUAGAAAUACAACUUUCAAACGAUAAACUGUCCAAAGUUUAUGUAAGACUUAGAAAUUACAAUAUAGUCUAAGAAAUAAGAAACAGAUAUAAAUAUCCAUAUAGUCUAAGAAAUAACAAUUCUGCUCCUUUUCCUCUCAUAUUGAUUGAUCAUGCAAGAUAUAAUGCUAAACAAAAUAAGCAUUACGAGACAACUAAAAUAAAAAUAAAAAUCAACCCAAGAUAUCAAACUAGAGAAAAUGUAGCUGCACAACACUUAUAUAUACAAUUAGCUUCGCACAUAACAGUAUAAGAAAACAAAAGAGAAGAAUAAAAAGAACAAACCUUCACAAAGUUUCCAAGUGUCUUAGUAGAGCCCCUGGAUGAGGUGAACACAUCCUCAAUUCCAGCAAACUGCAAAACCUUCUUAGGGACUCGAGCAGCGACAAUCCCAGCACCACGUGGAGCAGGCACCAUUCUCACUGUAACGGAUCCACACUUGCCAGUCACCUUGCAAGGCACUGUAUGUGGCUUUCCGAUCUUGUUACCCCAGUAGCCUCUCCUCACCGGUAUGACGGACAGCUUGGCUAAAAUGAUUGCGCCACGAAUGGCAGUAGCAACCUCCUUCGAACACUUGACUCCUAAUCCGACGUGGCCAUUUCCGUCUCCGACGACCACAAAGGCCUUGAACCUUGUUCUCUGACCCGCACGGGUUUGUUUCUGGACAGGGGUGAUCUUCAUGACCUCAUCCUUGAGGGAUGGACCGAUGAGAGUGUCGACGAUCUGGUGUUCUUUGAUUGGGAGAGAAUGAAGGUAUAUCUGCUCUAAGCUUCUGAUCUUGCCUUCUUUAACCAAACGGCCGAGUUUGGUAACUGGUACCCACUUCUCCUCCUCGUCGCGGCGAGCACGACGGCGGCCUCUGCCUCCCCGGUCACCACGAGGGGCACCGCCGAAGCCUCGGCGAAAGGCACCUCUUUCUCCUCCAGCUCCUCUUUCCGCCAUGAUUUUACCUAAGGGGAUUAGGGUUGAUUGAAAGAGAAACGAGAAUGGGCUUCAAGAGAAAAGAAGCAGAAUGGUAGCGCAGUGAAGGAAAGACGGUUACGGCGGGGAUAAGAUUUUAUGCAGUGCUAGGGUUUUUGAGAUGGGAACCGCAGUCCUGAAAACUAGAAUGAUGAUGGGCCGGGCUAAGAUCACCUAAUUUUAAUGGGCCUAUUCUGUCGAGUCCAACACUGUUUGGAGACAACAGCUACUAGUACUAUCUCUUCUGGCUUGAAUAAGAAUUGGGCCAUGCUUGAAUUGAUCUGAGCUUUCGUAUUUAGAUCUUGGUGUAGUGAUGAUAACAUUAUUGGGCUUUUGUUUCAACAAACUUUCUUGUAGGCUUUUAUUUUUGAUUAUUUGGUGUAUGGGUUGGUAUAAGAGAAACUGGGCUAGGUAACCAAGGAUGGAAACCAGAUAUUCGUUGGACUGUUGUUACGGGCCUACAUCUUUUUUGUUUUUUUAUUUUUUUAUUUUUCUGAUUUCUCUGCUCAAAUAGGCUCUCCAUUGACGUGGAGCUGAGUUGUCGUCCACCAACAUCCGGCGGGGAACACGCCGGCUGUUUUUUAUCCUUACAAAAAACUUUGUAGUAUUAUUUCUACAGUCACUCACCACCAAUGUAGUAAAGUUUCAUUAAACUGUUUGUGCAAAUUAUAGGCGCUGAAAUUUAUGACAUGAACUCAAUAACUUGUAAAAGUUUUGAAUUUUGAAGGAAAAUAAAAAUGGAUUCAAAUAAUCUGAAACAAAACAAAAAGUAAUUUGAGUAUUAUAAGUCGGAGGCAAACCCUGCAUAAAUCAGAAUUAAACAGUUUUCUUUUUUUAGAAUUAAACCCAUUUCGGAUUUGCAUUGGCCGGAGCUAAUGAAGAAAGUGGACAAUAACAUAAGUUCCGAUGUAUAGGACAAAAAUCGUCCUUUACUUAGAAUUUAAAAAUAAAAAGACAUUGACUUGGCCACUUGGGUGUUUUAGAAUUGCAAAUAUACACAGUGUCUAUCUGUCGUAUUCUAUCCAAAUAAACAUUAAGUACAGACAAAUUACAUCUUAGAAUUGGUGCAGGUAAUAAACUAUGCUUAACUUAUUGGAACUCUAAACCAGUCUUAUUGGUUUGGUUUGAGCUGAAUAUUACCCAAAAGCAAAUCAAAUACUACUUGAGUUCAAAUCAAACUCGAUUGUCGGCCCUAUAACGGUAAAAUUUGAGUAGGUUUAUGUUUAAAUAUCUCAGCAACUUGUUGUACUCAUUCAAUCUUUUUUUUUUUUUUUUAAUUUCUCAAAAUCUUGGUAUUUUUAUUAACUAUUCUUUCAAGAAAAUGGUUAAAUUUGAACAUAAACUAAUUAAAUCAGGUUUUAAAAAAAUUUCUAAUUCGAGCGUUUUGCAAUAUUCGAAUCGGAUGUCAUCGAGGUUAGUGGGUUUUCAAAUACUGUUAUUAUAGACAAAAAAAAAAUUAAUUAACAAAAUUUUAAGUCAAUUUAUAUAUGAAAUUGGAGAAGUAAGUUCAAGUUUAAGAAAAUAUGAGUUUACAAAAUUAGCAAGUGGUCCUUGUUUCCACGAAAAACAAAAAUGGUGCAUGUCUCUCUCCGGUGGCAAAGGCCAAAGAAUAGAGCUUGUUAGGGUUUGGGUUUCUUUAGUUUGAAAACGAUAAACAAUUAGAGACGGGAAAAUCGAAAAGAAUCAGAAUUCAGAGGCAGAGCAAAAGAAGGCUGAGGAAUGAGAUUGUCAGUGUUGAAAAUGAUCAAUCAGCAAAACCACUUAUAAAUUACUACACAACACUCUUAUUGUUAUUAUUAAACAAUUUUCACUUUUCCUUUAACGCCACGCAGUUCCCCUCUUUAUUGCUUAAUCAUCUUCUUAAUCCACGUUUUAAAUUAAAACACUUCAAAAAAAAAAAAACAAUUUGUUAAACAUAAAUACUCAACUCAGUCCCUCAGUAUUUACUAAAUGUUCAAUUUUGCCAAUUUUUAAGAUAUAAACUUUAAAUUUCAGAUGGAUUUUAUCUUAUUUCCUGUAAAAAAAAAUAUUAGGAUACUAAGUUUUCUAAUUUUUGAAUAGUAAAAGAUAUAUUGAAUAAAAAUUAAGUAAAAUAUUUAUAUUCUAUUGUUUUUUCUUAUAAAAAAAAAGGACAAGUUUAUCUUUUGAAAUUCAGAGUGGUCUAAAAGUUAAUUUUGGACUGAAUUGAAUAUCUACUGAAAGUUUGAGGGUGAAAUUAAAUAUUUAGCCAAAAAUAAAUAAAAGAUCCUCCAAGUAUUAAUUGGACACUGAUCUAAUAUGCCACCUUGUAAUGUGUGAAUGUCUUUAAGCGUUAAAAUUUCCCAAAGUUAAAAAGACAAUUUUGACAUCAAACUUACAUUUACGUGAAAUGAUAACUUAAAUCAUUUGGCCUAUUGUCAGCGGACUUCCAUAACUAUAAAUCCAAUUUCGAAGAAUUCGGAGGGGCAAAAUGGAGAAAAAAAGGUGAAACAUACAACAACCGCUAGUUGUCAGUUUUCUAUGAAAAAAACAAGGUCCAAGAAAAUAAAUUAGCCAGCUCCAGCUCCAGCUCCAGCUCCAGCACAAGAGAAAAGAAAGAAACAGUCACACCUUUCAUUUGAAAUCCCUGUUCCUUUCACACAACGAGGUUGCACGCCUGUGCUUUUAUUUCUCCUGCUCCUCUCUCUGUCUCUCUCCCAAAACCAUAAAACCUCUUUUAAAGCCUCACAUGAACAGAAAAGUUCACUGCCUCCUCUUAGUAAAACUUGAAUACAAGAAAACCCUCUUUCUUUUCGAAUAAAAGUUCAAAAAUAACUAUAAUCUCUAUAAGUUUGUCUUUUUAGUUCCAGUUAAGUUGUACAUUUUCCAUUUUCUAUUGUAUUUUGAAAAUUUACAAGGGAAGUUGGUAUUGUUUUUGCCAGAAAAGUCCAAACUCUCACGUCUUAAUCUCUUAUUCUAAACUGUCACUCUCUCUAUCUAACCAAUACAUACCCUGCAACAAGAAAACAAAACAAGUACAUUUUCAAACCAAACAAGAAAAGUUUGGUAAAAAUUUUCUGUUCAAAACUCCUUUUCUCCAACCAAAAAAAUCCUAUUGUCUGCCAAUAGGAAAUGGAGUUGUUACGAAUUUGUACCAAUCAGUUCAAUGCUUUUCAAACUCUUCUUUUCAAUUAGAGUAUAUAUAGAGAGAGCAGUAGUAUAAUACCAUCCAAAAAAAGAAAGCUUGCUCAUGAAUUUGUUUUCAAGCCUUGAACUCUUUUUUUUCUUCAAAUAAACACAUUACCCAGAAGAUCGUUCAUUGCCUUUAUAUAUCAAACCAAGGAAGGUUUUGCAUGGACAAAGUAUCAACAAUAACGGCAUUGACUGCAAGAAGGCCAAAAUGGCAGUACCCACCAGCGCAACCAACACCAAGAAUACUGCAUUUACCUCGAAGGCCUCGCAGGAAAGCUACAGCAAAGGCUAGUGCUUCGAAAUCAAGUUCAUCACAAAGAGAAAGGAAAGGAAAGCUGGAGAGUUUGUUUGAUCAAGAAAGAGAAUUUGCAAGAGGGCUUAUGCCUCUUAUAAUGGUACGUGGUGAAAAGGAUGAUGAGUGUGACGAGGAGAGGAGAGUGAGAGUGGAGGAAAGAGAAAGUGUGGUGAUGGAAGAGGAGAAGUGGAGGUUUCAAGCUGAGAUGUUGAGGGCAGAGUGUAAUUUGUUACGGAUGGAGAGAGAGAUUGCUGUGAAGAAGAUGGAGAGGAGAAGGGUUCAGGUGGAAAGAGCUUUAAGAUCUGCUAUUCAAACUUUGCUUUCUGUUAGUAUCUCUCCCCUCUCUCUCUCUUUCUUUUCUAUCCUGUUUUGGCGUUUUUAUUUGUAGUUCAAGUAGUGUUUUUGCUUAUUAAGAAAUUUUUGUACAGCAAUAAUGACAAAGAAAUUGCAAAUUAUACAAUUGGUUCUUCACAGAUGGUUGUCGAAAAGAAAAUAUUAAGUACUCCGUCUUCUUUUUUGUGAUUGAUAAUCUAAAGAACAAAGUUUUAAGUUUUUAAGCAUGAGAGUAGAGACUGCCUUUCCUCAAGUAAGCCUGACAUACGCUACAUUGUUACUGUUGUCUCUGACUGUCUAAUUGUUACUUUUUUUUGAAAAAAACUGUCUAAUUGUUACUUAAUACUGAUUAAUAACUACUAAGUUUCUUUCAUUUCUUUCUAAUUUUUUAUUUGCUGUGAGGGAAGUGAGGAUUAAUAGAUCAUCGAAGGCAGAUUAAACUUCAGAAGUAAGGUGGGUCUGAUCGGACGCUGAGAAAUUUUUGGCAAAGAAAAUGAGCAAGAAAGGGUCAUCAAAUUGUUUGAAAAAAUUAAAUAUUUUGGUUCUGAAAAUAAAAAGAACAGUAUUCUAAAUAAUUGAACCAAAUCCUGAUUGUUUCGUGUGCCUCUAUCAGUUUCAUUUUUAUAACUUGAAUUGGUAAUUGGUUUAUAGGGGAGAGAAAAGUUGUGUAAUGGAAAGAGAGCAAGCAUGGUUUUGGAAGAAGAGAUCAUUGAAUUGGCUGAAAAACUAGAGAAAUUGCAGAGAAGGUCAAGGCAUAAGUGUAUAGAGGUUCGAAAUUGUGGCAAUUUUGAUAAACAAGCCCAUCUUCUUCAAAGACGGCUAGAGAAGUUUGCAGGAGAAUCUGACGAGGCAUGCGUGAAGGAGAUUCAAGAGAUGGCAGAAGCGAGUUUGUCCAUCAAAACUACUUGCAGCAGCGUCAAUGAAACUUCUGUUUCAAGUUUUAGCGCUAAUGUAAUAUUGAAUUUCAUCGUUUAUUACUAUAUGGAGAUAUAUAAUCUGUAAUCUUUAAUUGUUUCUUUCAUUGCGUUUACUAACUCAACAGCUGCAAGUUACUAACUUUUAACAUAAAAGAAUAUGCAGAUGGAGAUUCUAAGGAAAAAAAUGGAAGGAUUAUCAAAGGAGCAUCUGUUAGAGAGGAUGGAAGAGGAAUGCGGGCCAAUGCUCUCUACAGCCAACACUUCUGGUUCUAGUUCUGUUGCUAAUUGCAAGCGAAUUGAAUUACAGGAGAUGUCUUCGUCGUCCAUGAGACCACAGAGCAAGGUACCCUCCUUUUGUUUCUGAUAAUCUCUCCCGACUAGUCAAUAACCAUAGACUUUAGGAUGGAAGGCACUUCAGGAUAGAUGCUGAUAGAUUUCCUGUGCAGGAGAGAAAGUUGUACGAGGAGAGGGCAUGCUCAGGAUGCUGCAAGGCUAUAGUGCAAAGGGUUGUGGAGCAAGUUCGAGCUGAAACGGAGCAAUGGUCUCAAAUGCAAGAGAUGCUGGGACAAGUAAGGGAUGAGAUGGAAGAAUUGCAGGCUUCCAGAGAUUUUUGGGAAGAUCGAGCACUUGAUUCUGAUUAUCAAAUUCAAUCUCUACAAUCUGCAGUAAGUACCCAAAUCUUACACAAAGCCACACAGUUUACCAAAUUAAUUGUUUCAAUUAAGGUGAUACAAUUUCAUGGAUAGGUGAAAGAGUGGAGAAGGAAAGCUGUUUCUUCUGAAGCCAAGGCAAAUGAGCUACAAGCUCAGGUAAUGGAGCUAUCCACUGAACUUGAAAAGUUGAAGAAGGAAAAGGCUAAAGAAACUAUCAGGACCAAGAAUCAAAAACUAAAUCCACACACAGAGUCACCGAAUGAGAUGGAGAAAAGGGUACUGGUUUGUCGGUUGAAAGAAAAUCGGCAAGCUAAUUGCGGUGAUGGCAGCAAGCAGAAGGAGAUGUUUGCUGAUGGAAGAAAAAAGUCUCACAGUCUUAAUGCUUCUAAAAGAUCGCCAUUUAGAGAGAUUGGAAACUCAUCGUCCCCAUUGUCAAGGCAAAAUAGCAGGGCAGUUUUUCCAUUGCGCUGUUCCAUCCCUUCCAAUUUGCAGCAAAAACUAUAAUCCUGUCUAAUCUUAACUGAGAGAGUUACACGUGAAUAGAGGAGUUUUUUGGUUAUUGGACUUCUCAUACUCGUUUGUGUCGCUGACAGAGAAUCGUUUCUGCUUGGCAGGGAAAGUUUUCCGUCAUUACUGAACGACAGUUUCCUCUCACUGUUAAUGUGUCGUUUGAGCUAUAGGUCAGUAUAAUCGAGAAAAAGGCCCAGCAAUUAGCAAUCUCAAAACUAUAAAAAGGCCAGGUUUUGCUUAAAUUGAAAUGCUCGAACUUUCUUUCACAUCAUUCCGGUGGUUUGCUUAAACAAUCCAGAGAAAGGCCCACCAAUAUCACCAAAGUCAGGCCCACUUAAAAUAAGCCCAAAUAUCGUUUCAAUUAAAAUAAGCUUCAAAAUUUUUAUGUUUGAAGCUUUAAUUUAUAUUUAACUAUAAUCCAAGCAACAUAUUUUAAUUAAUUAUUUAAAAAAUAAAUUUGAAAUGAUAUUUUAUACAUGAAUUUUAUAUUUGGCUCUUGAUCGAAACCUCUUUAAUUACCAAAACCUUUUUACUCUUAACAUAAAAAAAGAAAGAACUUAACCUGUAAUCAUAUAAUUUUCAACUGGGUAAUUUUGAUUUUAUAAAAUUGAUUAAUUUUAUCAUCCCCUCACCUGUUCUUUUGUCGGUGGUUAUAUACAUAUAUAUGAGUAGAGUGUGAUAUAAUGGCAGCAAAACUAUGAGAAUGAAGUGAUUUCCAACAUUAGUCCUCUUAAUUAGGCUUGUGAAUGGCCAAAUUUUAGGACUUAUGUUCCAAUCAAGCAAUUAAGAAUGAACAUAAUCAAAAAAUAAAAAAUGGGUAUUUAAUAUUUUAAGUAGGUCUAACAUGUGAUGUUUAUAAGCUAAUUAAACUUAUUAAUUAACAACUCUCAUAAUGUGCACGCAAAUGUUACCAAUGAAAAUACUUAAAUGGAAAGAUGGUUUGUUGAACCAUGAAAAUCACAUGAUUUAGCUGCCAACUCCGCAACUAAAACCCUCCAUUUAUUUAAUUAGAGAAAUAAAUUAUAUAACCUCAAUAUCAAAAAUUAAAUACGUGUUUUUUUUUUUUUUUUUUCCGAUUACAAAAGGGAAAAGAUGUCAAGUCUCUAGACACAGCCUGGAGAAUUCCAUGUUAUGAGGUUCUUUUAAAGGUAAACAAGCAAUGCUCUUCCCGUUAAUGUUUUAUUUGUAAAGUUUAAGAUCUCGUAAUGUCUUUUUUCUGUUGUCAAUUUACUAAUAAAUUUCAUUUUUCAAAAGGCAUUUGAUUAAAUUUAUGAAUUGUGGAAAAUUGGACUUUAACUGAAUAAAAAGUCCUUCAUGGUGAUGGUAAUCUUUUCAAAUUAUUACUUCUUAUUAGCAAUACAAUAUGUUGGCUUUGUAAACCUAACAAAAUGGCCAAUCUGAUCCAUUUACAGUAAUUUGCAAUAAAUUGGACAACUCACCCACAGAAAUUAUUUUAUACGUAUUUCCCAUAUUCAAGAACUGGUAAAAACACUAUACUACACGUAUAAAUACUCUGCAUAUUCUUAUAACAAUUCAUAGAUGUAUAAAUAUCAGUUUUUUAGCACUAAAACCAGUUUGAGUUUUGAUGAACAAUUUCAUUAAGGUGACGAAAAACAGAUUGCUUCUUUCAGAAAAGAAGCUAACAGAAGGACUGAAAUAUUUAGAAGCGACGUCGGUUUGGCCUUGGCAGUUUGGUUACGAGGCGAAGAAAAUGAGAGCAAAGCCAAUUAAUUCAGGAAAAACCAUUUUUAUACUGUGCAUUGCUAGCUUUAUUGCAGGAUCUUUGUUUACUACUCGAUCAUGGACUCGUACUUCUCCUUCUCAGCCUAAAGAUCAUAACCAUAAUAAUAAUAUUCCACUCAUUUCUCGUUAUGUCAACAAGUUUCAAGAAGCUGAACGCGAUUGCGAUCACAAGCGUGUAAGUUUUUAAAUUAAAAGUCUGAGAUUGAAAUCCAUAUAUAUAGCUCAGGUGAAAUUUGUGUUAACAUUGCAUGUGUGUAUGAACUGUUAGAAAUUGGCUGAAGGAAAGCCUGGAGAUAUUAUGGGAGAAGUUAUGAAAACCCAUCAAGCUAUCAAGUGAGUUGAUUAAUUAUUCGGCUAUAUUAUUCUUUAUUUUUGUGUUUCUCUUACGAGUAUCUCCGCACUCUUUUUGGUUCGUAAACUGUCUUUCUCCAUAAAUAUUUUUUUCACGAAUCGAAGCUGAUGUUCUAAGUGCAUAUAGGUCACUGGAGAAUACAAUUUCUAUAUUAGAAAUGGAGUUAACAGCAGCUCGUACAAGUCAAUACAGCGGCCAAAAUUCAAUUGGAAGACCUAAUAAUCGUACUUUGCAAAAAACAUUUGUUGUAAUUGGAAUUAAUACAGCAUUUAGCAGCAGAAAGCGCCGGGACUCAGUCAGAAAAACAUGGAUGCCAAAAGGUAAUAGUAAUAUACACAUUAUAUUAUAUAGUUGCUGAAAAAGGAUUAAUUAAAUUAAAAUAUAAAAUGCAGGAGAGAAAUUGAAGGAAUUGGAGAAAGAGAAAGGGAUAGUGAUACGGUUUGUGAUAGGACACAGUGCAACCGCAGGCGGUGGUGUUCUUGAUAAAGCGUUGGACGCAGAAGAAGCAGAAUAUAACGACUUUCUUAGGCUUAAACAUGUAGAGGGUUAUCAUCAACUCUCUACCAAAACUAGAUUGUAUUUUUCCACUGCUGUUUCGAUUUGGGAUGCUGAGUUCUACAUCAAGGUUGAUGAUGAUGUUCAUGUUAAUUUAGGUAAUUUAUUUAUUUUUCUUUUGUUUAUUAAUGGCUCUAUCUAAUAAGCUAAUUGAUUUAAAUGAAAUUAAUUAAUUAAUUAUUACUGUAUUUUUUAAUUUGUAGGUGCUUUAGUCAGUACACUUGCAAAAUACAGAUCCAAGCCAAGAAUAUAUAUCGGGUGCAUGAAGUCUGGACCUGUUCUCUCUCAAAAGUAAGUUUUUUAUUAUAAUAAAUAUUGAAAAGUUAUUUUAUAAUUCAAAAUAAUUCAAUGAUGAAUUAGAAUUAUAAAUAUUCUCGAAUCUACAAAAUAUGAGAUGUUUCGUAAUAUGAGAUGUUUCGUACGCUGAUUUGAUUUUUAUUUUAACUACAGAGGGGUAAGAUAUCACGAACCAGAAUAUUGGAAAUUUGGAGAAGAAGGUAACAAGUACUUCAGACAUGCAACUGGCCAAAUUUAUGGCAUCUCUAAGGACCUUGCUUCUUAUAUCUCCAUUAACUCGUAUGCUAUCUUCUUUUAUUAUGAAUAUUUUCAAUUUGAAAUUUCAAAUUUGAUAAUUAAUUCUUUUAUUAUUGAUAUAUUUUAAAUUUCAAAUUUCAAAUGAAAUCUGGUAAUUCUAAAUCUAAAUCAAUCAGAAAUCUUGGCAGUCCAAUAUUGCAUAGAUAUGCAAACGAAGAUGUUUCUCUUGGAGCUUGGUUUAUUGGCUUAGAAGUUGAACACGUGGACGAGCAUUCCAUGUGUUGCGGAACCCCUCCAGGUGAAAAAAACAAAACACAACAAUCAAUUCCUGACCGUCAGAUUCUGUGAUUUUGUAAAAUAAUAAUAAUUACUAGUAAUUAAUUGAAUCGAUGCUUUGUCAGCGUGUGAAUGGAAGGCGCAAAAUGGAAAUGUGUGCGUGGCAUCAUUUGAUUGGUCUUGCAGCGGCAUAUGCAAAUCUGUGGAAAGAAUGAAAGCGGUGCAUAGUUCUUGCGGGGAAGGAGAAGGCGCUGUUUGGAAUGUUAAUGUUUUAAGUCAAUAAUAGUAUUAUUAAUAAUUAAUUAUAUGCCAAUACUUUAAAUUCAAAAAUAAGAUUGAUAGCUAACUUUUUAUCUUUGAUUAUAAUUUUUUUUAACCACUUUUGAGUUGAUUUUUUCCUAUCAUUUCUGUCAUUUGAGUGUAAUUAAGUUUAUUAGUUACUAAAUUGAUUGCCACUGUAUUAAGGCAAAAUAUAGUAAUUUGAUUCAUAUUGAAUAAAUUUUCAACAUUUUGUUACGUAUAAAUUUCAUUUUCUGAAUGAUUUGAAUUUCUAUAAUUUGUUUAGAAUUUUAACUAAUUUAAACACUAAUUUUUAAAAUUAAAAUCGAAUUAUAGUCAUUUAUAAUCUUAAAUAAUAAUUUGAAAUAAUUUUGGUAAGAAUUCGACAAAAUAUAUUUUGUUCCCAUAUAUGUUCUAAUCUAUAAUUAACUAUUAAUCAUUAAAAAAAAAAAAGACAGAAAUGUGAAAACAUGUAUGAAAACUUUGAUAUUGCAAAACAAACAAAUUCAUAAAGAAAAUAAUACUGUUAUUAUCAAUCUAAACUAAAGAGAAUAAUAAAAUUAUUUUGAAGAUGAUAACACAACAACUAAUUUUAUCCUAAACAAUAAUUGGUUCAUAAUAUUACUAUUACAAAACAAUAUAGCUAAACAAUAAUUGCUUCUUCCGCAUGAUGCCAACACCAUUAUUUAUUUAUUAAAAGAAAAGCUGAAAGUAGCUUGGAAAGGCUAGAAGAUGGUCAAAACACAAUAAAUCCUUUCUCCUUUAAGCUUUCCACAGUUUCCUUUAUGCUCACCUUGAGAGGAAUGAAGUCAAUACCCAGGCGUUUAGCCUUUUCCUUAGACACCUCAUAUGUUGGAACAUAAGGCUUAUCGUCCGCACACCUGUAAAAUUUUGCCAUCAAGGAACCCAAUUUAUCAUCCAUGGCUAAAACAACAGAAUAACUGAUAGAUACAUUGCUAUAAUGUGUAUAAUGUGAUUAAAACUGUGUAAGAAAAGUGAUUAAUGAAUCGCCAUUGCAAUAUAAACACCUUUGGAAAAGAAAAUAAAAUGUGGAAGAAAGACAUACUUUUCUGGAAAUUGGAAAUCGGGGUAAAGCUCACGCAAAGUAUCCACCACCUUUGAGUAGUGUGCAACUGUCUCAACCAAACAGUAACGUCCACUUGCUGACGGAAUCUCAAAAGCUUGAAUAUGUGCAUUAGCAACAUCCUUAACAUUUACCCAUCCAAAAGUUGCAUUGGGGAAAGUUUGUACUCCUAUAAUCAAUAAGAGGUGAGCAAAAUAAGCAUAUGCGCUCCAGAGAGAGAAAAACGCAUUGCUAUUAUAGAAAUCCUAAGACUAUUAUUUCUUGACAAUUUUCCCCGCCGUGUUACAGCAUUAGACAUUUUCAAAAGGGACAAUUAUAUCUUAAUUGCUACAUUGAUUUGAUAGAUUAACUUAUAAUAUUUAAAGGAAUGAUAAAUACGAUCCCUUUAUUAUAGAGGUUCUAUUCAAAAUUCUGUCUGAUUAAAUUCUAUACUUGAUCUUUCUCAAGGGAUUAGAUACUGACUUUAUGUAGAUUGUACUGAUAUUAUUCAGAUAGUAAUGAGACAAACAAAUACCUUUCAUCAAGCUUAAUACAGCAGCAGCACUUGUAUUAAGUGUUGGCUGUAGAAGAGGACCAAUCACCAUUGCUGGAUUUAUAGCAACCAGGUCUAUAUCUUUCUCUUUUGCAAAUUUCCAAGCGGCAUCCUCAGCCAAGGUCUUUGAGACUACGUACCAAAGCUAAAAGCAAAAACAAAACAAGGAAAGAUCACAAAGAAAUUUUAUAUUUUGGACAAUUAACAUGGCAGAAAUAGUGUUAUGAUAUAUCAAAACUGAGCACCAAAAAGGUAUGGCAGAAAUCAUUUGCAGGCAAUUUCGAAAUUGAAAUGAUGGCCGCUGGAUCUCUCCUUUCUUUGGCAUGGGUUUUUAACUUCUAAUUUUUUGGUAUGAGAAUUCAGAUUUUCAUUAGAAGGCUUUAUAACCAAACACAAAUCACUAUACACACUAAAGGGAUGCCAUUCAUGCAUUAAAACAAGAAGACCAUUUGCAAGGCAAGCAAUCUGCAAGGUCUAACACAGUAUGAACAUCAAAGUAUCAUCUUCUACUAAAAAAAAAAAUUAAAAGUACUUAUUCAGAUUUUAUUCUUUUGAAAACCUCCUGUUGCAUUCCUUCUAAAUAAAUGGAAAAAUACGGAGGGAUCUGUUAAGAUCUUGGUUAAAUAAAUGGAAAAAGGAAGAAUUUUCCUUGUCUGAGCAAGACUAUUGUUAACCAAUUCAAAUUCAACUGAUCCUGCUACUGCAUAGCAAAUCCUGGCCACUGAAAGCACACGCUAAAUUGGAAAUGCAACAAAAAUCUAAGAAGGAAUUGAUGAGCCAAGUCAGCUUCACUUCCUGUUUUUAUCUAAACCUCAAAUUCUAAAACAAUGAAAGUCAUGAAACAAAAAAAAGUAGCAUCUACAAUAGAAAGAUAAAAUCAAAAUGUUUCCCGUUCAAUCCAAAACCAUAAUGCUGAUUCCAUCAAUCUCGUAGAAGAAAAGAAACUUGAAGGAAGACCUCCACGUUUCUAAACCUCAUCUGCAAAUUGAAUAUGUUGCCACCCUCAUCCACUACUUGUGCCUCUCUCUCUCUCUCUCUCUCUCUCUCUCCCUGUUUAUGCCAACCCCAGCCCACUCUUAUGGACGCUAAAAUAUUUAUUCUACCAGAGGCUUAACUAGCUAAAAAAGAACUGUACGAAGCCAGCCCAUGUUAGUAGAUAGCCAGGGUUUGGUUUAUAUUACAGAAAGUAAUAACAGUAGAUGAUAACCCUCCUGGGCAAGAUUUGGAGAUCAUAAUGCAAGCAAUCAGUUACCAGAUAGAUGACUUAGCAUGUGUCCGCACCUUAUUUUCCUUGCAAAAUUCUGGAUCAGAAAACCAAGUUUCAUCCACAACUACCUCUGGAGUUCGAGGCUUUCCAUUAUAAUUAACUGCAGCGAUAGAAGAUGUCAAGACAACUCGUUUGACUGAAGGAGUUCUUGCACAAGAAUUAAGAACAUUUAGUGUUCCCUUCACUGCAGGAUCAAUUAAUUCUGUCUGAAAUGAAAAAACUAUUAGAAAAGAAGUCUUGCUGACGCAUGAAACAAAACAACAAAGGGCUACCAAUAGAUAGAUAUAUAAUAAAGUUGCAUAUUGGUUAUUUUGAACAUUUGUAACACUUGAUAGAAAAGACACCAUAAUGGCUGCUCUUAGAAUACACUUCGAGAUUUCAUCUAUCUACUAACUUUUCAUUAUCGAAUGAAAAGGUGCUAAUCAUGAAAUACACGCAUUCACAGUCCUGAUUAUGAAGAAAGAUAAAUGUGCCAAUACUCAUGAGGUAUCAUUAAGUUUCCUUCCUUAAUUUCAGCAAAAAUAAGGACCUGAGUAUACAAAAAACACCAACGCUUGCUUAGAAGCAAGAUUGUAAGUCUAACCUGUGGAUCUGUAACGUCAUGGAAAAAGGGAGAUGCAGUAUGGAAAACACCUUCACACCCUUCAAUUGCAGCAUCAAAGGAACCUUCUUCCAAUAGGUUUGCUUUAAACAGCUGAAGUCUCUCUUGAGCUCCUUCAAGUGCAGUCAAGUGUUCCACCUUCUUGGGAUCAUCUGCAGAAAUAACAGAAAACAAUCAACAAUUUGCUCAAACAGCUAGCUGUUCUCUGUUGCUGCUUUGCAAUCAGUAUAUUUUUGUUUGUAUGCAUCCAUGAAGGAAAAUAUAAGUGUGCUCAUCCUGUCAUUACCAACCAAACAGGCCCAACCUCGUGAGAAAACAGCAUCUUGGUUUCUCUUAAAGUAUAGAGGAAGAGAUGCUUUGUAGAGUAAAGUAUUCUUCGUAUUUAACACAUAAUAGGCCCAACCAUAUUUCCGUUUUUUGUCAAUUGCGGUAACCAUACGCACCCUAAAAGAACGUUCAAGCGUGUGAUUAAGGAUUCAGAUUCAACCAAUUUUUUAUAUUAAACAAUUAGUUACGUGUAGAAAAUUUUAAAUAAUCCACAAAUAGUUCUUUCCUCCAACCUAACCGCAGGAAAUUAUUCUCAACUAUCUCAAUCUGUGACAGAAUUUUGUAAUAUCUACCUACUUCAACAAUAUUAUUAAGAAAAUGCAUGAGAGAAGAAGUUUCCCGGAGCUUUAUAACUUACAAUCUGUUAAAUUAAUUGGCCAUUAGUUUAUACAGUGAUCUAACCGUAAUCAAAAUAGCACGAUGAAGAUAAAUGAGAAAGAAAAAAUCGGAUGUAGGGAGAGAUGAUGAAUACCGACCUGGAUUACGAACAGAGGCUUUGACGGUGUAGCCACGGAGGAGGAGGAACUUCACGAGCCAUGAGGCAAUGUAACCGGAAGCUCCAGUCACGCAAACGAUCUUCCCUGCUCCGCUGCUCAUUUUCGUUUUCUCUUCUACUCCCACUUGCUCGUUCAGUUUGGAAGGUAUCUUUUCCUUCAGUUGGCUCAUGCUCUUUAAAUAGGCAAAUGUCUGUCCUCUUUUGUAACGGCAAGUCUGUGAGCUCACCGAAUAGUCGUGUGUCAUACCAUACGAAAUCGUAGCCCGGCUAGGUAUGCCGUAAGCAUUGACGUAUGCGAAUGAAUAACUCGCUGCCGCUGGUGGCUCUAAUUUGAUUGGAGUAGAUAAUGCCAUGUGACGCCCAAUCGACAGCAAUUAUCGGGGAAAGGCUUAUUUGAACCGAGGAAACGACAGGGCUAAUUUGCCGUUUCUUUUAUAUUUUUUAAACAAUUUCAUUUAUGUUUACGCCACCUAAUACGUUAACUAAUGUGAUUUGUUACGCCACCUGCUACGUUAACUAGAGAUGACUCGUGGUCACGUUAACCGGUUAUGAUCGUAUGCUUUAAAUAACAAAAGUCAGUUACAUAACUUGUGUUUUCAUAAUUUUUAUAUAAUAAAAUAUAAUUUUCCAUGUUAAUUUGUCAAUUUUUUUAUUUUUUUUAUUUUUCAAAUAUGAAUAAUGAAUUCUUCCAAAAGUUUCGAUCUUUCUUUUCUUUAGGUGCAUGGUAAUCAUUAUGACUAUAUAUUUUUACUAUUUUCUAUAAAUUUGAUUAUUUCGAUUCAAAAUUUCAUGGAAAAAUGUAAUUCAAUUCUCAAAACUAUACAAUUUUUAUAACAAAAAAUAAAGGAUUUUGCAACUUAAUUUGUAAGAUUUUUUAUUUAUUUUUCUCCUUUCAAAUAAGCAUCAUGAACAUUUUCCAUAGUUUCAUAGUAUUUUUGUUAUUUUAGCUACAAUAAUAAUAAUAAUAUUAUUAUUAUAAUUAUUUGCUCUCACUAUCUCCUAUCACUUUGAAAAUUUUUUGCCAAAACUCUAAAAAUGUUUGGUUCAAUUUUUUCAUGCAACUAACAUCUUCUUUUAGAAGUCUCAUUCAGUAAAUUAAUUGCAUUUUAAAAUUCUUUUUCUAUUAUGUUUAGACCAUAUUAAAUUUAUAAAAAUAAUUAUGAAUAAUUUUAUUUUCAAAUUAAUACUUUUAGGCCAUUAUUUUUAUAGUUAUUUAAAAAUAAUAAAUAAGUAUUAAAUAUUAUUAUUCAAAAAUAAUUAAUAUUUUUAUUUAUAUUGCACAUUAAUAUCUAUAUUUAUAUAGUUGUAUCCUAAUGAUUAUAUUUAGACUUAGGCUACCUGAAAAUUGGGUAAUCGUUUGAAAUGUUUCUAAACUGUAAUAAUACAUUAGACAGCGAAGAGAUAAGUAUUUUGCGUGGUUGAUAGCAGUCUCACAAAAAAACAAAUCUAAUUUCCUAUAUAUCAAUUUCAAUUGUUCAUUAUACAUUUUGCUGACUUUCUUUUAGAUUUCAGCAUCAAUUUAAUUCUAAAAUCUAAAAUUUUAACUAUGUAUUUUUAAAUAUUGAAAUAUUAUUUUAACCAUUGGUACAUUUUCAAAAGCUUAAAAGAAGGAAAACAAAAUGAAAUCUAGAUGUUAUUUUCAUACUGUGGCACGAGGAACACAAGUGCUUACUUUAUUUUAUGAUGGCUUUAUGGAAUAAGAAGUAAAGUUGGAGACUAAGUGUGACAUCCCUACCCGGCAAAGCGAUUCUAAGAGGGCGGGUAGAGCGAAGCUCCUGGCUAGCUUCUAGGAUGGCAGGCUAGCUAGGGUAGUAGAAUGCGGGACACAGGAAUGAAUCGAAUUAUAUAUCGAAGGAGGAAACUAAUCAUUAGAGGCGCCUUUUGGUGGAAUGACUGGAGAGUUGGAAGAACUCCAGGAUUAAGAGUGCUCGUUUAACAGAAAUCUCAGGAUGGGUGACCUCCUGGGAAGUUUCUCAUUUCACCUGCGGGACAAAACCGUGAGGUGUAGGGCGUCCGUGAACUACACCAAAGCGGACAAUUCCUCUUGUGAUUAGAGUCGGGGCGUGACACUAAGACACCCACCCACUAUUUCUUUCUUUCUUUUUUUCUUUUUUUUCUUUUUUUUCUUUUUUUGUGAGAUAACCCUAUAUUUGGAACAUGAUUAUUAAGUAUGCUCACAUUUACAAAAUUAAAUUAGCCUUUAAAAUAUUUCCAACGUUAUUAAAUUUAUCCUCACCAAUGGACUUCACUCUCUCUUAUUAUAAUAUGGUGGUGGGUUGGUGGCUCUAAGAAUGUUGAUGUUUUGGACACGAGGAAAUUGAAAAUGAUGCCAUCAUAUUCAUCCAUUGAUAUAUAAUUAAUGUAGAUUUGAUGGACUUGUUUCAAAUAACUCUCUGUCUCUCUAGUUAUUUGAUUUCAUAAACACAGCCACUCCCUGAUAUGUAUCUCUUUUAUCAAAACAAGAAUCGACAAACAAGAGGAAAUUAAGGUGAGAGACAGUCGAAUAGAGAGAUAACCAGUAAUGGCUACUCUGCUAAUUAUACCUUUGAAUACUCUGAAAACCACUCUACCACCUAUCCAUGAACGUUUCUUGCCAAUUUUUAAACUCAGCAAAUCUAAAUCUUUCAUCUUCCAAAGCAAACUCUUUUCACUAAACCCUAAAACUCUCAUCAAAUGCUCAUCAUCUGUGUCACGUCUAACUCCACAACUAGACGACGAAACCCUAGUUUAUAACCAAGAAGACGAGAGGCCUCUAAGCCAAAUUUGGAAAGAAAUUCAAGGCUGCAAUGACUGGGAAGGACUUUUAGACCCAAUGAACUCUCAUUUACGCAAAGAAAUCAUUCGGUACGGAGAAUUCGCUCAGACAUGUUACGAUUCUUUCGAUUUCGAUCCUCACUCCAAGUAUUGUGGCACGUGCAAAUAUCAAGGCGCUCAUUUCUUUGAUAAACUUGACAUGCAAGGACAUGGUUAUCAAAUAAGUAGGUAUCUUUAUGCGACUUCAAAUAUUAAUCUUCCAAAUUUCUUUCAAAAAUCUAAACUAAGCAGCGUUUGGAGUAUCCAUGCAAAUUGGAUGGGUUACGUUGCUGUUUCCACCGAUGAAGAAGAAAUCCAACGGCUAGGCCGUCGCGAUAUAGUUAUAGCAUGGAGAGGUACAGUUACUUAUCUUGAAUGGAUAUAUGAUCUCAAAGACAUACUUUGCUCUGCAAAUUUCACUAACGAUCCAUCAAUAAAGAUCGAAUUGGGUUUUUAUGAUUUAUACACCAAGAAAGAAAACUCUUGCAAGUAUUGCACAUUUUCUGCUCGUGAACAAGUUUUAGCUGAGAUUAAAAGGCUUCUUGAUUAUUAUAGAGGCGAAGAAAUUAGUAUUACAAUUACGGGUCAUAGCUUAGGAGCAGCUUUGGCUAUAUUAAGUGCCUAUGAUAUUGCAGAAAUGAAGGUUAAUUACAUGGAUGAUAAAACUAAAAUUCCCAUCACUGUCUACUCUUUUUCGGGCCCUCGAGUUGGAAAUUUAAAGUUUAAAGAAAGAUGCGAAGAGCUUGAUGUUAAGGUGUUAAGAGUGAUUAAUGUGCAUGACAAGGUACCAAAAGUACCAGGAAUAUUUGCUAAUGAAAAAUUUCAAUUUCAAAAAUACGUAGAGGAGACAAUGUCAUUUCCAUGGAGCUAUGCACAUGUUGGUGUAGAACUUGCAUUAGAUCAUACACAUAGUCCAUUUUUAAGACCAACAAACGACCUGGGUUGUGCUCAUAAUCUUGAAGUCCAUUUGCAUUUAGUAGAUGGGUAUCAUGGGAAAGGAAGAAAGUUCGUUUUAGCGACAAAAAGAGAUAUUGCAUUAGUUAACAAGAGUUGUGAUUUCUUGAGAAGUGAAUAUGGUGUGCCACCGCAUUGGCGGCAAGAUGAGAAUAAAGGGAUGAUCAGAAAUAGAGAAGGGCGAUGGGUGGUGCCGGAUAGGCCUAGAGUGGAGGCACAUCGAGCUGAUACGGCCCACCACCUUGAACAAGUGCUCAAGACUAAAGCAAACUCCUCUUAAGUGGAAGCACUUUGAAAGUUUGAAUUUGAUGUGGUAACCACUACGAACUUUGCGUGUGUGCGUGUCUGGGCCUUAUCUCCUCAGUGUCCUAUAUAUGUAUGUAUGUAUGUACAUAAAUGUGAUAGAUCGUCCUUGUGCUAUAAAAUAUAUAUAAUACUUAUAUAUAUUAAAGAGGAAGAAUGGUAUGGACCCUGAGCACUAGUGUCAAUUUUCUCUUUUGGUCUAGUACGCUGAGGACCAUCUCAAUUCUACACCCACCAUUUUUGUUACUUACUAGAAUGCUGCCCAACACACGACUAUCAUACACAUGAUGAAUGCCACUUACAAGGUUCUGACCACCGAUAAAUUAGGACACAUGUCACGUGUGUGUACAUAUAAUCAUGUUGUUUUUGUGUAUAUCCAAAGUAGGAGACACACACUAGUCAUGCGUGUGUAUCAUAUAUCAAUACAUUAAUCAAUACAGAAAGGAAAGUGAACCAAUUAGGUUUUUUCACUAAUGUGAUAAGUGAAAUGUCUCGAAUUUAAAUUCUCUCGACUAUAAAAAUUUUCAACAAUUUAGUAAAUUAAGAGGAGGAUUAUUCUUGUUGUGUAGCUCAUCAUGAUGAAUUUAGUAUAUUAUUACCAUGUGUUUCAUUUAUAGGCUGCACAAAAAAUAUGCAAGGAUUAGAACUUGAGCACUUACAAUAAUCACUUCCUUGUUAGUGACCCAAGUAGUUGUAAUGGAAUCAUGAUUUGUACAUCUUAAGCUCCAUUAAUUAAAUGAUUUUGAUGUUAAUUAGAAUUAAUUAAAUAUCAAACUCCUCAUAAUGAAAGUUUGAAAUGAUUGCUUAUUUGCUUUUCACCAUAUUGCAAGUUUCCAACUAGAGAAAAAGUGGGGCUGAAUUGAUUAUGGUUGCCCAUGAUCCAUCGUAGUGGCUAGUUUAGACAUCUUAACCUUUUUUUUUUUUUUUUUUCUAAGACGCAGAGAUAUUUUAUUUAAUAUUUCCACAAGAGUGGCAGUAAAUAUAAUAAUAAAAAUCCAAUCUCAUGUCCCCGUAAUUUGAUAAGCAUAAAGGCUAGCUAGGUUGCGUGGACCCCGUAAAGGUGAGGCUUGGCCUUAUAGAAUGACAAGCACCGACUGCCUUAGCGUGGGUUUUUCUACUGGGCUUUCUGAUACUGGGCUUUGGCCUCAUAAAAUCCAUAAAAAGCAUCGGUUCACGUUGUCGGACUCGGACAUAGCAUAUAAAUGAUAAAACAAAAUUGGCGGUCUAUUCAAACUUCAAACUUGAAAAAGGGCAAAAAAAAAAAAAAAAAAAGAAAUAAAUAAAAUAAAAAUAAUGGAUCACUGGACAUUUGGACUCUGAGAGUCUGAGUUCCCAACUUCUUGGAAGUCAGCAGCCUACAACGGCGCUCUUCUCGACUCUUCAAAAAAACUCAGCCUAUUUUCUUAAGCCAUUCUUUUUAUUAUUAUUAUUUUAUUUUCGGACCAUCUAAUAUCCAAAAUCUAUUAAUUAGAGUUUGAAUAUUUAAAAAAACUUUAUAUCUCAUGUUCAAAUGUAAUACUUCUAAUUGAAGAAAACAAUUUUUUUUUUUCAAAAGGAGGAAAAAAAAAAAGAUUUUUGUUACCCAGCCCAUCCCUCGAGUAUUCUAUUUUUCAAAGUGGGAUUUUUGUUAGAAAUAAACUAUGUAAAUAAAAUAUAAAUAGAAAUAUAUUUUUUAAUUAAAAAAUGUGAGAAAACUAUCAAAUAAAAAUUUAUUUUUCUCUAGGACAAAUAAAUUUAGAAUCUCUCUAAAUUGAAAGAAAAAAUAAAGAAAUUAUUAUUUAAUGUAACAUAUAAUUUAUUAUUUUAUUUCUUUCAUUAUUUCAGUUUAUUCCUUUCCAAAUGAAAUUUUAUAAGAAAACAAAAGCGUAUGUCCUUCAUUGUUUUCUCUCUUAUUUUCUUUUCUGAGUAUCCAAACGUAGCAUAAGAAUAUUCUUUCGCGCAUGUAACUGUGUUUUGCUACAAUUUUCUGCUCCGUUUGCAAUUAUUAGGACAUGUUGAAUCAACCUAUCGAAUUUUAAUCCCAUUCCUAAAUGCAUUCUCAUAUUUAAUCAAAGAAUUAGUUAAUAUAUAUAAAAUAAAAUUUAUUAUUUAUCAAUUAGAUAAAAGUUUAAUAUUAUAAUUUAAUUUAGAUAAACAUACAAGACAUCUUCCGCCCAAAUUGAAUCGUCCUCUAAUGUAGAUAGCCGGUGAGCCACAAAAAUAUGUUUGCUUCAGUAUAUGAACGAAACGACAGCUUGCAAAUAAAUUGUAAUUGCAAUGAGCUGUCCAAACUAGGAAAGGUCAAGCUGCUGUUUUUUUUUUUUUUUUAAUAAUUGAAUAUAUGAUAUUGAAAAUAAGAUCGUUCUCCUUUUCUUGCAUCGUGUAGCUUAUUUUUUAUUUAAAAAAAAGAUAAAAUAUUAUCUCAAUAAUAUUUUUGUUGGAUUUGAAAAAAAAUAUUCUCAAGCAAUGAAUGGUAUAUCUAACAAUCUGUUACUGAUAUUAUUUUUAUGCUUUAAAUGAAUUAUUAUAAUAACGGUGAAAAAAAAUAUAGCAUUCAUAUUAUUAAGAAAAAAAAAGUUAAAAAUCCUUAAUGUAUGAUAAUAAAUUGUUAGGAAAAAUGCCACCUAAUGUUAGGUAACAUCCUUUUUUGUCUUUUUCUUUAAAAUUUCUAGGAAAUUUAACUGAGAAAAAUCCAAAUUCAGGUUUAUGAUAGACUUAUGAAAAUAACAUAAAAAAUAAAAAAGAAACUUCUCAAGUGAUGUUUGGAUUGGAGGUGUAGAAGGUGUUGUUUUAGAUAUUUGGAGCUUUGUGCAUUAAAUUUAUUGACACUGUCUUUCUUUUUUUUUUUUUAUUCACGAGAAAAUAUAACAGGACGAAUGAGAUUUCUCUUUGAUAAAUAAAGAUACUUUCAAUAAAAUGCAUUUUUCGAUAAUUAAAUUUAUGUUCUCACAUUCACGGAGAUUUAUGCCGCUUACUACUCUAAUCGAUGCAUUGUUGGUAAAGAUAUUUGCAUGUUAAUAGUAUGUAUUUUAAAAUAAAUGAUAGAACUUUGAUUUGAAUUUAUAGUUGAAGUGGGAAAUUGUAAAACAAACAAUGUGACAUCAAAUUCAAAAUCAUCUUUUAAUAAAUAUUUAUUUAAAUGGAUUAUAUAUUUACCUUUAUUCUAUAUGUAAAAUUUCAAUGUGUGUUUUCUUGGAUCUAAAUUAUAAUCUUCCUUUCUUUUUAAUUUUAUUUAAUUCAAAUUAUAUGUUAUUUUUGUAUUAUUUUUAUCUGGAGAGUAUAUGGUUUAAACAUAAUCUAAAUCUAUUAUCUAAUUCACUUUUAAUACAAAAAUUAAAAUAAAAAAAUAAAAAAAAUAAAAUGUAUAAAAAACACAUUAUACAAAUUUUUUUUUUUUUUACAAUCUGAUACUGUACAAUGAAUAUUGUACAAUUCAAUCUGCACUACGUAUAGAAAAGAUGGAGAGAGAGAGAGAGAGAUGUGACUUUCUUUUGGGCCGUAACGCUGUAGUGAAUUUGAUGACCAUAAAGGCAUCAAAAUGUAAACCCCAGCCACCAACUUCCCCUGCCGCGCACCGAUUGAUAUCACGCGCCAAUAGAGAUGUGGUUGCACGCUCCAUUAGACUUAACUGUCUUUUUCGUAUUUUUUAAACACAGUAUUUAAAUUUUAAUUUAUUUUAUAAUUAAUUAUUCUAAAUGAAUGUUAUUAUAAAGUUGGCUUAAUUUCAGUGUAUGAAAAAGUAUUGAUUUAUUUGUUUAGUUAAAACUAAAAAAUUUUAAUUUAUUUCGUAAAAAAAUUAUAUAAAAAGAAGAAAUGAGUCAAUAAUAAUGAAAUGAUUUAACUCUAAUAUUAAAGAUGAUACAACUAAAGUAAUUUAAUUAUUUUUAAUAGAAAUUGGUUAAUAUUUUAAUUUAAGUAAUAUAUUUAUUUUUUAUAAAAAAUUUAGCUUUAAAUUAUGUCUGAACAAUAUUUUAAACUCCAUUAAAUGAAUUAGACUUAAUAUAGAAAACCUUAACGUUAGUAUUGUUGUUAAAAUCACACCGUUAUGCUUAUUAGACUGUUUUCCUCCGCAACCUAUGACCAAAAUGGGUUCCUACCUACCCAUAGAAUAUAGUAAUAACAUGUGCACAUGUCUUUGUAUUAUUUUGAGCAUAUAGAUCCAAAUAUUUUUGUUAAGAGAAAAACAUAGAUCUAAAUCAGAUAACCUUGUAUAGGUGUGAUUAAAAAAAUAAUGUACCAUAUUAGAGUCUUUUUUAACAAAAAAAAAAAAGAAGCAUAUAGAUCAAAAUUUUCUUAAAAAAAAAAAAAAACAUAGAUCCAAACCAGAGAAAUUUGUACAUCCGUUAAAAAAUAAUAAAAUAUAUUAAUUUAUAAUAUUAAGUUUUUUUUAACGAAAAGACAAAAAACUCAAAAUGUAAAUCGUUGAAUUUAUAUUAUUUUGUUUAUAUAUAACUAUUAUUAUUCGAAAGCUCAUUAGAUUUUUUGACCAUGAACAAUUUAAAUAUUGAAGUCCCAAAAGGGUAACUCUUUGGAUUUUUUUUUUUUUGUAUAAUUAAGCACGGCAUGUAAUUCUCUUUAGGUAUAAAAUGUAACAAUUUUUUAUUUUUUCAAUAAGAUUUAUUUUUAAGGGAUUGAAUUUGCAUGUUUUACAAAAUUGAGAUCGGUUAAGGAAAAGGGGUUACUCUAAUUUUUCCUUUUCACUUCUAUUUUAUUUUGUAGAAGAUAUUUUGAUGGGACCAACUAGUAUAAAAGAAAAUAAUAACAAAAGAAAGAGCGUGGCCACCAAAUUCCAGAGAGAGAGUGAUGGCGCGAAGAGAGGACAAAAACUCUUGAAUUUUCCCUCACAUAUUCAUUCACAACUACCGCCCACCUACAUAAACGACACAAUAAACAUACCCAACACAAACUGACUGUGCUUUGUGCUUUCUACUACUCAAACCCACCCCAACCAACUAUAUAAACUGAAUCGAAAAACACGCCUCUCAGCUUCCACCAACACACCCCCCUCCUACUUGUCGACAUGGCCAUCGCCGCCUGCUUCUUCACCGCCUCCCUUCCCAACUCCGACCCCAAACUCAAUCUCCACCGUCCAUUCCUUUCCUCCUCCUCAUCACCCCACCUUCUUCUCCGUCUAUCCGUCCCUUCCUCCUCCCCACUCUCUCUCCGUCACCAACACAGUAACCUUCUCCCUCUCUUCGUCCCUUCUGCUUCUUACUCCGGUGGAGAUGACGGCUUCAACAACCGCAAUCAUGCCGGCGGCGGCGGCGGCGGUGGAGGUAAUGACAACAAUGGAAAUAAUGGUCACGGUGGUGACGAGGAUGGUGAUAAUGCCGCGAAUAGGAAUAGGAAAGAGGCGAUUAUGGUAUUGGCAGAGGCAAACCGGUCUAUAGAGAGUUUGCCCAAGGACUUAGCGGCUGCGAUCCAGGCCGGUAGAAUUCCUGGUGUGGUGGUUUCCAGAUUUUUAGAGCUGGAGAAGUCGGGGAUCUUCCGGUGGUUGCUUAACUUUGGUGGUUUCAAGGAGAGGCUUUUGGCUGAUGAUCUGUUUUUUGCCAAGGUCUUCAUUGAAUGUGGUGUUGGAAUAUUUACUAAGGUACAAUAUAAUUCUUUAUAUUCUAUUGAAAAAGGAAAAUGCAAAAUGCAUUUGAUUUGUUUUUGCUUUUGCUAAUAGUGAUUUUGUUAUUGUGAUUGAAAAAGCUAACAAUGUGCAUAAUGGAAUAAAAUUUUCCAAUCCUGGAAAGAAUUUUGAUGAGUGUGCUUUGAUUCCCCUUUUACUCAUUCAUCACCAAAUCCCCUUUUUAAUUCUUCACCCCUGCUCUUGAUUUAAAGAUAGGUUAUGGUGAACUGUUAUUUAGAUUUGUAUCCUUAAUUUGAUCCGUAUUCUUUUUCUGUUUAGACAGCUGCAGAAUAUGAACGUCGCAGAGAGAAUUUUUUCAAGGAGCUCGAAAUUGUUUUUGCAGAUGUGGUAAGAAUGUUUUGCUGAAGAUUAUUUCUUAUGAAUCAUCCAUCACUUGUUUGAUUAUAAAAGCAUGGGCAGAAAUGUUGCACCUAAUCAAAUGCUUGUUUACUGAAAAUUUGGCUGUGGAAGUAUUCUCUGCAUUCUCAUUUUGAGUUUAUUGUGUCUCUUAGGUGAUGGCCAUAAUUGCAGACUUCAUGCUGGUUUACCUUCCUGCUCCAACAGUAUCCCUCCGACCGCCACUUGCAAGCAAUGCAGGAACUAUUGCAAAGUUCUUCUAUAGUUGCCCUGAUAAUGCGUUUCAGGUUUUUAUUUGACAAUAACCUUAUAUGCAUUAGCUUGCCUUUUAUACAAGGAUUGUUUCUGACUUUCAGUUACUCUGUUUUUCGGAUUCUGUUUGUAGGUUGCACUCGCUGGAACUUCCUAUUCACUCAUACAGAGAAUAGGUGCCAUAGUGGUAAGGAUUAUUUUGUAUGCUACACUUGAUUAAUUCAAAUUUAUCAAGUUAUAUCUCUCAAGUAACCAGUUAGUAAAUUCAUGCAGCGUAAUGGGGCAAAGCUUUUUGCUGUUGGCACCACUUCAUCACUGGUAAGUCCUCAUUGCUGAGGAGGUUGCUUGUUUUUGAUGUGGACUAUACCUGUGUAUGUUGUGCAUCUGUUUCAUUCUGCAACCGUAAGGAUUGUUUCUAGGACAGAUCAACAUAAUGCUAAUGCUAAAUGGCUUGAAAUAUUCUGGUUAAUCACAUUGUUGUUCUUUAAAUACGCAAUUUGCUAGAGUCCUAGGGAAAAGAAAUGAAAUCAAGGCCAGUAGCUGUUGUCGUCAAAUUUUUCAUACAAAAGAAAAUUUUCUGUUUGAAGUCAUUAAUCUAAUAAUCUCUGUUUAUCUUGAUGACAUUAUUCUUAUAAUAUGUACUUCAUCCAUCUUAGCAAACCAAUUUUACCUUGUGCCAAUGUUUUCUUUGGCUUUGUUCUGUAGCAGCUGUCUAUGUUAUGCUGGGAAGAACUGUCUGCUACUCUGGCUUUUAAUUUUGAACAUAUCUAACCUCAUUUCAAACAUUAUAUAAUCUUCAAUUUUGUUUUUCUUGCAUUAUGAACAUUCUAUUUUCUGUUAAUGUCAUUUUCUGGGGCUCUUCCUGGCCCCUUUUCCCCAUUCCCCUCUCUCUCAGGCAUCAAUAUGAACUGCUGCUUUGUGUUUCUGUUCCUGCAUUACAGUGUCACUUUUUUUCUUGGUCGUCAUUGUCAUCAUCUUAUUCCUUUACAGGCCUUUUUCUUUAGUAUAUAUACAGGAAAAGUUGAGUUCUAGUGUGCAAGCAUUUGAUGCAAUUUAUUUUUGUUCUAGGUUGGUACAGCUGUGACAAAUGCAUUGAUCAAUGCAAGGAAGGCUGUGGAUAAGUCUUCAGCUGGUGAGGUUGAAAAUGUGCCAAUAGUGUCCACUAGUGUUGCCUAUGGUGUAUAUAUGGCAGUUUCCAGCAACCUAAGGUAUGAUGUGGUUUUGCAGUAUUGUUUGUGCAUCUGUGGUUUUUAUUUUGUAUAUUGUCUUGUUGUCCGUGAUGUUGAUGAUUCAAUAUAGCAGUAAUAAUCUAGAAACCACAAAAGACCCAUGCCCUGUUCUUGGGUAGCUAAGUGUAGUUUGGAUGCUGGCUUGCAUGCUUGUUGGGAAUAGAUUGCAUUGGGCGAAUAACCAUUUUCAUCAUAAAUAGUGAAUUUUUUUUUUUGGAAUACAGUACUAAGAUAUAUAAUUUGAUCUCAAGGUUCUUCUAUAGUUGCCCUGAUAAUGCGUUUCAGGUUUUUAUUUGACAAUAACCUUAUAUGCAUUAGCUUGCCUUUUAUACAAGGAUUGUUUCUGACUUUCAGUUACUCUGUUUUUCGGAUUCUGUUUGUAGGUUGCACUCGCUGGAACUUCCUAUUCACUCAUACAGAGAAUAGGUGCCAUAGUGGUAAGGAUUAUUUUGUAUGCUACACUUGAUUAAUUCAAAUUUAUCAAGUUAUAUCUCUCAAGUAACCAGUUAGUAAAUUCAUGCAGCGUAAUGGGGCAAAGCUUUUUGCUGUUGGCACCACUUCAUCACUGGUAAGUCCUCAUUGCUGAGGAGGUUGCUUGUUUUUGAUGUGGACUAUACCUGUGUAUGUUGUGCAUCUGUUUCAUUCUGCAACCGUAAGGAUUGUUUCUAGGACAGAUCAACAUAAUGCUAAUGCUAAAUGGCUUGAAAUAUUCUGGUUAAUCACAUUGUUGUUCUUUAAAUACGCAAUUUGCUAGAGUCCUAGGGAAAAGAAAUGAAAUCAAGGCCAGUAGCUGUUGUCGUCAAAUUUUUCAUACAAAAGAAAAUUUUCUGUUUGAAGUCAUUAAUCUAAUAAUCUCUGUUUAUCUUGAUGACAUUAUUCUUAUAAUAUGUACUUCAUCCAUCUUAGCAAACCAAUUUUACCUUGUGCCAAUGUUUUCUUUGGCUUUGUUCUGUAGCAGCUGUCUAUGUUAUGCUGGGAAGAACUGUCUGCUACUCUGGCUUUUAAUUUUGAACAUAUCUAACCUCAUUUCAAACAUUAUAUAAUCUUCAAUUUUGUUUUUCUUGCAUUAUGAACAUUCUAUUUUCUGUUAAUGUCAUUUUCUGGGGCUCUUCCUGGCCCCUUUUCCCCAUUCCCCUCUCUCUCAGGCAUCAAUAUGAACUGCUGCUUUGUGUUUCUGUUCCUGCAUUACAGUGUCACUUUUUUUCUUGGUCGUCAUUGUCAUCAUCUUAUUCCUUUACAGGCCUUUUUCUUUAGUAUAUAUACAGGAAAAGUUGAGUUCUAGUGUGCAAGCAUUUGAUGCAAUUUAUUUUUGUUCUAGGUUGGUACAGCUGUGACAAAUGCAUUGAUCAAUGCAAGGAAGGCUGUGGAUAAGUCUUCAGCUGGUGAGGUUGAAAAUGUGCCAAUAGUGUCCACUAGUGUUGCCUAUGGUGUAUAUAUGGCAGUUUCCAGCAACCUAAGGUAUGAUGUGGUUUUGCAGUAUUGUUUGUGCAUCUGUGGUUUUUAUUUUGUAUAUUGUCUUGUUGUCCGUGAUGUUGAUGAUUCAAUAUAGCAGUAAUAAUCUAGAAACCACAAAAGACCCAUGCCCUGUUCUUGGGUAGCUAAGUGUAGUUUGGAUGCUGGCUUGCAUGCUUGUUGGGAAUAGAUUGCAUUGGGCGAAUAACCAUUUUCAUCAUAAAUAGUGAAUUUUUUUUUUUGGAAUACAGUACUAAGAUAUAUAAUUUGAUCUCAAGCUUAAUGCUUAUCAUUAGGACCAUUUUUCUGUGAUUUUGUGAAGUCUUCAAUAACAGAGUAAGUAGCAAAAUGGCAGCCAAGCAAUUUGCCUCAAUAGUUCUCCACCAGAAUAUAAUGUAUGAAAUUCUAAAUGGAUACCAGUUUAAUCUCAUUGGAAUUAUUAAUUGCUGUAACAAAUGCAACAACUUCUUUAUUUUUAGGGUUCUUGAGAUUGGAAUAUUAUUCUGAGAGAUUAAAUCUGUUAAACAGGUAUCAAGUACUGGCUGGAGUUCUUGAACAACGAAUUUUGGAACCUCUACUACACCAGCACAAGCUAAUGCUUAGUGCAAUUUGUUUUGCUGUUCGAACGGGCAACACGUACUUGGGUUCAUUAUUGUGAGAUAUCUUACUUGUAAAACUCUUUGAAUUUGAUAACUUUUCCAUCCAUAGCAAGUCAAAUUCACAACUUGCUUUGACAGGUGGGUGGAUUAUGCUCGCUUGAUCGGACUUCAAAAGGCUCAGGAGGUGCAAAACGAAUUGGCUUGAUUUGUAAUGGUCCCACGAAAAUGUAUUGGCAUGAAGUAGGUCUAUCAGUGGAAUUUUUGUGAGGGUUUUGGCUGAAGAAAUUGCAAUUUUCCAACUAUCUAUACCUCACAAUUACUCGAUAAAGCUGACAUCCUACAGCGUGUUUUGUUUUUAUCAGUGCAAAAUUUGUUGUCUAAUUUUUUACCACCUCGGCUCGUGGGUGGCUAGUUUUAGACGCAAACAACAUUUACGAUCGGAGAGUCUACGUAGGCCCUAGUGGUAAAGCAUUUGUAUAUUUUUCUUUUUCCUUUUUUUAAUUUGAAUAUUGUUAUUUGAUUUUGAAAAUAAGGGAAAAUUUGCGUUGUUGUCAAAAACGAAUAAGGGAAAUUUUGCAACUAUUAUUUAUUUACAUUCCUACUAAGAAUGCCACCGUACAUAAACGUGAUUGCCGGAGUCAACUAUCAGGGAAAAAGGCCGUGGGGACACGUGUUUUAGAUCCACGCUAAAGGGUGGCCUCGUGCUUAGAUCCCUUCAUUUUUUUCGAUAAAUAAUUUUGACACAGCCCAGUUGGACUUGGGUAAAAGGACAGUAGUGCCCUUGCAGUUUGUUUUCUGACAUGAUGUAAAAGGACAGUAAUACUUUUAGAGAAUAUAAAUAGUUUGUUUUGCAUACACGAAUAUUAUGAGUUUCAACUGAACGGAUUUUAUGAGGACCGUCGCUGUCGAUAACUAUACAUGAUGGUCAACCGAGCAGAUUUUAUGAGGACCGUCGCUGUCGGUAACCAUACAUGAUGAUCAGAAAUUGAACUAAUUAAGAAAGUUGCUUUUUUUAUAUAUUAAAGUGAUCAAAAUUUUUUGAAGAUCUCAGUUCUACAAUUUCUAUAAAUUUUAUCAAUUAUAAUAAAACCCCAAAUUUACCAAAUUUAAAUGCAGAUUUAAAUACAUAAAAUCCUUCCACCAAAUCACUUUUAGUUCGUAGAAAAAUAUGAAUUUAAGCUUAUCUUAAUAACAAUUAUACUACCGGAAUCGUAAAAUUCAACCGGAAAAUUUAAAAACAAUAAAAUUUGAAUUUCUUAGUCCCAAAAAUAGGAACUCGGUCGAUCAAAUGGUGACUGGAUAUAGACUUCCCGUAACCGGAGGAGUAUUUCGCCGUUUUAUUCUUGUUAAACGAUCGACUUCCGGAGUUUGAUUGGAGAAACAGAGGCAGUAAAUCGACCUCUAUCGUAAGAGGCAAACAAAGGAGGAGAGGAAGAAGAAAGUAGAAUUUUUUCUUUCAUCUCAAACUAUUUAUAGUCCGAUUUGGUAUGAUUUAAAUUCGAUUCGGUUUGAAUUAUAAAAGUCUUGGUUUCUUCUAUUUUGUUGUAGUAUUAAUUAGAUUAAAUUGAGCAAUAUAUGCUAAUUGACUUUUGCAUACUUUCCUUGAUUGUUAAAAGAUUUUCUAUAUCUAUUGCAAUAAUAAUGAUUUUAACAUAAGGCAUGAUUCUAGGGAUUGAGAUUCAAUGUCUUAAUUAAUAAUUAGCACAUGUAAUUAAUCAAUAUUAAGAUAUUUCAAACCAAGGAGUUGAUAUUUCGAUUAGAAGACCCUCCUUCAGGCCUUGACUUAUGGCUGUUACAUGACGUGAGUGGGGUUUCCCACUAAAGGAGUUGUGUUUAAUUUCCUUCAGAGCUUUGCUCUUUCCCCUUGUAACCAAAAAAAAAAAAAAAAAGAAAAACAUCAAGAUAUUUCAAAUCAUUAAUCAAUAUAAUAAUAAUAAUAAGAAUAAGAAUAGUCAUUUUACCAUCAAAACUAGGUAAUUUUGAUGUAAGGAGUUUAAAUCAAUCCACGAGCAAAACUAUCACUUAUGCUAAUUAUCAUUUAAAUUCUAAUUAUAUUAUAAUUAUAGACAUUCUAAUUAUAAUUAAUAUUAUAAUCAAACUUAAUAUUAUAAUAACUUCUAUUAUAUGAUUAUAACUAUUAUGAUUAUCACUGCCUUUCUAAUAGUGCUAUAAUUAUGAAAUUUAUAAUUAUCAGUAGUGUAUAUUCAAAUCUAUUCAUAAUCUAAAAAUAUUACAUAUUAGUAUAAUUAGAUUAUUCAUUUGUCUAUAAGUUCAUUAGUCCUUUUAGCAUUGUAAUUGUACUUAGCAUUGUAAUACUUAGUAUAUAUAAUGCUUAGAAUUAUCAAAGAUAACUUGGUUUAUUUGGCUAUAAUUAUAAUUAUAAUCAUAAUUAAUAAUUAUACGAGUAUGCAAUAUCGCAAAAUAUAAAUGUAUUUGAUUAUAAAAUAGUAAUAAUUGGAAAUUCUGUGAUUAUAGUAGUAUUAGAACGAUAAUAGUGAUUAUAAUAGGUAGAAUCAUAUAAUAGAAGUUAGUAUUAAGUUUGAUUAUAUAUUAUAAUAAUAAUCAUAAGAAUAAUUAUAAUUAUAGUUAUGCUAGAAUACAAUAUUGUCAGAAUAUGAAUAUGGCUUUUGGCGUUGAGCUUUUUGCUUUUUGGGGUAAAGGAACGCCAGCAUUGGGAAAAGUAACCCAAGAAACAAUUAAAUAUAUUAAGGGCAUUAUAGAAAGUUUCCAUCUACUGCACACACCCUAGGCACAAGUCGUGCCAUUCAGCACUUGCCCCGUUGGUUUUUUUUUUUUUAACUCUUCACACACAUACACAAAUAUGCAUGUGCGCCCACAACGUGGACAUGUGACAUGUAAUGCAUGAUAAAUUAAGACGUCACGUUCAGUCAUUUUAUUCAGCUCUGGCCCAGCUCCCUUUCAAGUUUGAAGCUUACAUUUGGCGCUGGCCCAAUUCCCAUUCAAGUUUGAGGUCCAGAACAUUUCUCUAUACAGAGAUGAGAUCUCUCUCUUUUUUCUUUGUCAAGAAGAAAUUUUCAAAUAACAUUUCGAAAAUAUAAUUUAACGUACUUUAUUAUUAUUAUUAUUAGAAAAAUAGUUAUCUAGGUUCGAAGAGUCUACCUAUACAUUAAACCAAUAAAAAACAAUAUCUUGAUUAUACGCCGGAGGUAUGUAAGUCUAUUUAUUAUUAUUAUUAAUAUUGCUGCUAUCCCGUGUGUCUGAGGCUGCAUUUAGGCAGUGACUUCACCUUUCAUGCAAGGCCUUAUCUUGAUGCCUGUAAUAUUUGUCUCCACCAUAUACUCUGCAUCACAGCAUUCUAUCACACCUGCCUGGAAGAUCCCAACAAACGCUUAAAACCAAAAAUUUUAGAACUAGAUUAAUACAAAUCUUGAUUAGAUUGGGCUCUCUUUCAUAAAAUAAAAACUUCUGCUUACCGUCUUUCCGGUCAUCGCAGGAGAAAGAACUUGAAUUUUGUCGAUAAAAUCAGCAGAAUGGUUUCCAGUAACCAAACAUGUUUGCAAAUUACGAGGUGAAGCUCUAACAUAAAUUGUCAAAAUCUGAUUACCUGAAGUAGAAUACUCUAUAGAGUCAAAGAAAAAUAGAUGAGGAGUUUCACAUGGAUCGUUGUUGAGUACUGGCCCAGUAUUGAACAUAUAAAAUGGCGGCUUAGCAUCCUUCGAAAAUGGCCUGAAUGUCUCAAGUGGCUUACGCAGAAUACUUCUGGGGAUUCUUUUCUCAUAUACAUGCAUAGAAUAGCCCCAUGAGACAGAGAAAGACCAGUUGCUUUCUCUCUGGUAGCAGAUGGUUUGUUGCACGAGAUUGAUCAUAAUUUGGAUUUAUAAUGUCCAAGUGGUGGAGAGUUAGAAGAGAAGACUGUGGGUGAGCUGAUAAAAAUCUUGAUAUGUCACCGCGCAUAUCUAUCUGCAGUUAUAAAAGCAAGACACUGUAUCAAAUCAACUCCCAUGUCAGCUAAACAAGAUUGUGCCAUAUGGGCCAAAGAUAAAGGGAGGAAGAAGAAGAAGAAGAAGAAGAAGAAAGAAUAAGAAAAUGAAAAAUUACCUGGUGCAAACCCUUUUCAAUGUUUAAAUCAACUCCCGUGUCAGCUAAACAACAUUGUGCCAUAUGAUCAUUAACAAACAAAUAAGGAUAUCUCUCAAAACAAUCAUCUAACUUACUUGCCAAUUCUUUAACUAAUGGGUAACUCAAAGCAUAGUCAGUUCCUCCAAAUCUCCGGGACUUGGAGCAUAAAGGUUUUAGGCCCUUCUAUUAAAAUUUACUUUCUCGAGGAUAAACUUAUGUUCUCAUCCUUACCGGAUACCACCUCAAUCAAUAUCUUCUUGAUUAUGAAAUUUUAUUAUUAAUAUUUUUUAAUUAAUUACUCUCUCGAUCGUUUAAUUUAUAUUUAAGGGAUUUCCUAUAUGCUAUUAGCCUAUUAGAAGUAUUAAUCUACUAUAGGUGCCACAAGCUUAAAUGUGAAUUAAGAGAUAGAAAAGAAUACUAAAAAUUACUAUAAGUUGACUUUGAAUUGAUCAUUUAAUGCAGAAUAAAUUAAUGGUUGACAAAUUGUAGAGCCUUAUGCUAUAUUGCUAUAAUCCUAGAACUUACAUAUAUUGUUACAGGCACCUGUCGUUUAUAGUUUUUUUUUUUUUUUUUUUUUUUUUUUUUUUUUUUUUUUUUUUUUUUUUUUUUUUUUUUUCUAUUGAAUGAUUUGCCUUCCGUUUCAUUACAUGUCGUUCCAUUCGAAACUAACUGUCGUUUCCUUUGUCAUUAACAGCAAAAUAACCCAUCGUUUCAAAAAUUUGGAAUUAAAUGAAACUGAUGCCUCUGUUUUCUCUGUUUUCUACUCUGUAAUUAGGCAAGAACUUCAUCUUUCACGCAAGGCCUUAUCUUGAUUUCUGUAGUAUUUAUCUCCACCUUGUACUCUACAUCACAGCAUUCUAUUACACCGGCCUGUAAUAUCGAUUCACACAAGCUCAAUCACAACUCUGAAACUGAAAAUUUUAAGCAAAAAGAGAGUAAAGAUUGUAAUUUGAAUAAGAACACUCACUGUCUUGCGAAUUGUCGCAGGAGAAAGAACUUGAAUUCUGGAGAUGGAAUCAGCAGAAUGAUUUCCAGCGAAUGAACAAGCCGGCAAGUUACGAGGCGAAGCUCUAAUAUAACUAGUCAAAAUCCGAUUACCUGAAGCAGUAUACUCUAUAGAAUCAAAGAAAAACACAUGAGGAGCUUGACAUGGAUCGUUGUUGAGAAGACGAGUGUUAAACAUGAAGAAUGGUCGCUUAUCAUUUUUAGCCCAAGGCCUAAAUGUCUCGAGAGGUUUACGCAGAAUGCUUCUCGGGAUUAUAUUUUCGUAUAUGUGAGUAGAAUAGCCCCAUGAGACUGAGAAGGACCAGUUGCUUUCUCUUUGGUAGCAGAUAGUUUGUUGCAGCAGGCGAGAUUGAUCAAAGUUUGCUGCUUUCAUCAAGUGUCUUGCGCUUUCAUAACGAUCCAUGGAGGGAAAGAUUGGAUUUAUAGAAUCGAAAUGGUGGAGAGAAAGAAGAGGUGAUUGAGGGUGAGCUGAUAAAAGGCCUGAUAUGUCAUGAUGAAGAUCUAUCUGCAAAUAUCAGAUAAAUUUAUGCAAAUUAGGCCUUCAAUUAUAGAGAAAGAUGAAGAAAUGUGACUGCUGAUCUUACCUGGUGGAUCCCUUUUUCAAGAUUUAUAGCAACUCCCAUGUCAGCUAAACAAGAUUGUGCCAUAUGAUCACUAACAUAUAAGUAAGGGUAUCUCUCAAUGCAAGCAUCUAAUUUGGCUGCCAAAGCUUUCGCUAAUGGAUAACUCAAAGCAUAACCAGCUCCACCAAAUCCCAUAUCAAAAGAGAAAUCAGCAUUAGACUUCACACAUUCAGAAUUACCUCCAACAUAAACAUACUUAGUAUGAUCAUACUUCCUCAAAACCUCUAAUAAGUUUUCAGUGAAAAACACAGUAUCAUCAUCACACAUGAUGAACCAUCUCAAAUCUUUAUCUCCUACCCUAUACAUAUCUAAAAUCGAACGUACUAUUCGAACUUCAAUUGGGUUUCUAAGUUUUGGGUAGACUCUUAAUUUUGUUAUGUCUUCACUGAUCUUGUAUGGAGGAUAAGUUAAAGGCCAAGGCAAGAAUUCUUGUGUUGGUUCUUUGUCUAAAAAGACAUACCCUCUAGUUACAUUUGGUCUCCACCAUGUCUGUGUAUAAGGAUGUCUGUGUUUCCAUGUCUGCAAAGAACUUACGACCACAAAUCCAAUGUGGCUAAUAUUUGUAAGAGAAAUAUCAGUAAUAAUACUGUUAUUACAUGAUGGGUUUGGCCAUUUGAUUUGAAAGGGGAGAAAUGUAUUUGAAGAUUGGUAAUCAGUUUUGUGGGUAAAGAGGAAUGUGUAGAACAAGAGAAGUGAUAGGCCUAUAAUAAAUAUAGAUUUCCAUAAAAUCCCAAGCGUUAAGUUUUGAAAUAGAUUCAAGUUUUGGGCAUUUGAAGAAGACAUUGUGGAGGAUAGAGCUGAAAUGAAAUGGAAAUGGAUGGUUUAAUAUAUAAGAAAUCAGGUAAUUAACCAUGUGAAUAUUCUUUGAUUUGAAGGUUUUUAGUUGGACCAGUGCAAUUUAAUGAGAUUUUAAUGGAGAGUCCAUAACUUAAGCGAUAAUCUUUAUGGAUGAUCAUGUUUAUGGAGUGCUUGAAAUUUUCACUGCGUUUGGUUUCCUAGAAGCCAUGUGGCUGCCAUUAAUACAAUUUGUAAAUUUUUUUUAUUAAAAAUAAUUUUGUUUGAAAUUUUAAAAAUAUCUGAUUUGGCAUAUCGAAUUAUGUUUAAUUUUCAUGAUUUUAACCUUCAAAUCAAAAUUUGUAGUAGUUUUCAAAUUACAAGCUACAUAAAUUUGUUUGUUUCUCUCUUGUAUAUUUGUGUGUUAAUUGCAAAGUUUUUCCUUACUCCCAAGAAAGUAAACUUAAAUGAAUUUUAAAAUAUUAUUAAGUAUUUUUUUAAAAUAAAAUUAUGUUGUAGUUAUAAAAAAAAAAAUGAUCCUAUUGGAUAUAUUUAACUAGUUUCUUAAAAGUUAAUCUAAAUGACAAAGUGAGAUGACUAUUACAAGAAUAUAUAAGAAUAUAAAAUUCAAGAUUAUUUUAAAUUAUUGAUCAAUGGAAAAACAAUAUUAAAAAUUAUCUCCUGAAAUAAAAUAUAGAUAUACAAGGCAUAGUUGAAUCUUUCGUAUUUGCAAAAGGAAGCAAAGCCCUUAAUUAGCCUUUGCUUUGCAUGGGAAUAAAGGUUUUAUUGACCCGUAUAACACACGGUACCAUUAAUGUGCACUUUCAACUCUAUACAUAUGGUUUGACUCCAUAGUCCCAGUCAAAUUCAGAAAAUAGUUUUUUUUUUUUCUUUUUUUAAAUCAUCAAAACCUUUUCUUUUAUUAAUAAAACCAAGCUUCUAACCCUAAUUCUAACGGCCUCCCAUGCACCAGAACCUAUCUCCCCAAUGCUAAGUGAAAAAACCCAGCACUUAAAUCACAACAAUCAAUUCAUUUAACAAGUAAUAUUAAAAUUUUGCAAUUUGCAAAAUCUCAAGAAUUGAGUUGUAGUUUUUCCUGAGGGGAAGAGUCUUGCCGGAGAAAACUACAGUAGUAGACGGAAGGAAAUAAAACAACAGGAGUAAAUGAGUGUUUGACUUUGAGGGUUAGAUGUGAUAUUUCUUCCUUCUACCUAUAUUGAAGGACUUGGAGAGAAUCUGCAACUCUUGAGCUUCAAGUACAAAAAAAAAUUUGGGAUUUUAAUCAUACAGUUUUAUUACUGGCUUGCUCUACUUAAAUACACAUGGAGAGAAACACCUCUUACACUUAAUAAGGAAAUUAAUAUUAAAAAGAAACAAUUAGGAAUCACUAAGAACAUGGCAGCACCACACACAGCAGCAUCAACUGUCAGAUUCAGCUUGAAGUUGGUCUCCUUCAUCUCCAAGCGUCCUUCUCUUUCAGCCAGGACUGAACCUCUUGUAAAUCUGCAAAGGCUUGCUAACAGAUUUCAUCAUCAUCUGCAGAUAAUUGUUGACUAAUUUUGCUAAAUUUCAAACUCUUAUGUAUUUCCGCUUCUAUAAUGCAUACUAGCUAGAUUUGCUUGAAAAAUUAAACUAAAUAUUAUUAUUUAUCACAGGGCCAUCGAAAGAUUGGGUCUUUCUAAGGUUCCAGUGAAGGCCCUCGUGAAUGCUGCGCAAGAAGUCAUUGGUGGAAUCAACUUGGCAUGCUGUAGGCACAGGCCAAGGCGCCAUGCUGCACACAAGUGCAUCGCCGGCUGCUAACUGUUUCCUGUCCUUGCCAUCAAAUGAUACCCAAGCAGAGCUUCUACUGUUGAAAGGAACUUGUACCCUUACUGUUACAUGUUCAGGUAAUAUCAGAGGCCGAAAAGACAAUGAAUGUGGACAAAUUGGUGUAAAGAGGAUGCCUGGAACCUGCAAUUACAGAAUAUAACAUUUAUAAGGUUUUACUAACAUAAAACGAAAACCAACAUAAAAUAUGAUCUAAUUUAGAUAGGUAAAUCAAGCUUCUUUAAAAGUGAAUUAAUAGUUGUGGGGCCGUGGCUGCACAUUCUAGUCUGACACAUCAAAGAAUGGGAGGGUCAACAGGAUAUUUAAAGAAAAUAUUGUAUUGUAAUGUACCUGUGGAUGGACCAUCGAUCCUCCAGCUGCCAAUGAAUAAGCAGUGCUACCCGAUGUUGUUGAUAAAAUUAACCCAUCACCUUGCACACAUGUGACAAAGGAGUUGUCACAAUAGCAUUCCAAAUUUGUGAGGUAGGAUGAUAUUCCACGGUCAAUCGUAACCUCAUUCAGAACAAGUAUAGGCUCGUCAGUUUCAACCUCAUUUGUUGCUGCAUCUCUAAUGACAUGGCAUUGUAAACGAUGUCGCAAUGUUAUAUUAAUUGGACCCCUAAGAAUUGAAUCAAGGCAAUCUCUGUAAUGUUCACUAUCUAAAAAAUGUUAAAGGAUACUUUUUGAGUUCAGACAAAGAGAAGGUAAUAAAUAUUUAAAGCAAUUGUAACUCCUGCAAAAGAGAAGCCAGUAUUAGCAAUGGAGAAUUUCUUUUCCACUUGAGGAAUUAAACUUCUUUGGAAAAUAUUAAGGAUACGAAACGGUGUCAUAAAGCCAAGAGAACCUAGAGAAAACGGAACAAUGGGAGGAACUGGUCCUUUGAACAUAGAUGCUGCCUGCAAGUAAAAAAAGGCAGAUAGUAACUUCUCCAAAGGCAGAUGAAAGGAAGAGAAGCACAAAAUAAAAAUAAGGCAGAUGUGGAUCAAACUGAAAGAACAUACCCAAAGAACAGUACCAUCCCCACCAAGAGUAACUACAAGAUCAACUUUUUUGUGCAGUAGAGAAAUUUCCUUGUCUGCGAACGAGUUCAUACAUAGUGAAAUAUCCAUAAAUAAAAAAGCAAAAUAUUGUGUCCCACAAAUUUGAGUUCAAACAGUGUUUAUAUUAGCAGUAGUGAAAUUCACUUGGUUAAAUCAAUGAUUCGCUAUAAGAUUGUGUAGCAAUUUACCAUCUUUCCAUGUUUUCACAAAGUUGAAGUAAGACGAUUCUGUCAGAAGUUCACCCCUCACACGUGGUUCCACGUAAAUGUUUAACUUUUUAUUUUCUUCCAACCAUCUGGUAAUGGAAAUUGAAAAAUUAGGCACAGAAAAUUUUUUGCUUAAUUGCACAAGCAUUUGUAGAUAAGAACUAUUAAUAUCAAACUACGAGCUCUGGAACAAUUUAGAUAUUCUUUUCAGAUAAAGAAAUGAAAAUAAUGCAACACGAGAAACCACAAUUAAAACUCUUUUCUAUAGAAUAUUUUCCAAAGCAUUGAGGAACUUCAUCGUGAAAUGUACAUUAUUAACAGAUACAUGUUCAUGGUCAGUAAAAUCAUUUACAAAUACCUACACAAUAAUGAAAGCAACUAAAUUGAGAAACUCAUUUCAGAAUUGAAAAAUGUAAAACAAAAAAAAAAAAAAAAAAGUCUCCUUCAUCUCCAAGCGUCCUUCUCUUUCAGCCAGGACUGAACCUCUUGUAAAUCUGCAAAGGCUUGCUAACAGAUUUCAUCAUCAUCUGCAGAUAAUUGUUGACUAAUUUUGCUAAAUUUCAAACUCUUAUGUAUUUCCGCUUCUAUAAUGCAUACUAGCUAGAUUUGCUUGAAAAAUUAAACUAAAUAUUAUUAUUUAUCACAGGGCCAUCGAAAGAUUGGGUCUUUCUAAGGUUCCAGUGAAGGCCCUCGUGAAUGCUGCGCAAGAAGUCAUUGGUGGAAUCAACUUGGCAUGCUGUAGGCACAGGCCAAGGCGCCAUGCUGCACACAAGUGCAUCGCCGGCUGCUAACUGUUUCCUGUCCUUGCCAUCAAAUGAUACCCAAGCAGAGCUUCUACUGUUGAAAGGAACUUGUACCCUUACUGUUACAUGUUCAGGUAAUAUCAGAGGCCGAAAAGACAAUGAAUGUGGACAAAUUGGUGUAAAGAGGAUGCCUGGAACCUGCAAUUACAGAAUAUAACAUUUAUAAGGUUUUACUAACAUAAAACGAAAACCAACAUAAAAUAUGAUCUAAUUUAGAUAGGUAAAUCAAGCUUCUUUAAAAGUGAAUUAAUAGUUGUGGGGCCGUGGCUGCACAUUCUAGUCUGACACAUCAAAGAAUGGGAGGGUCAACAGGAUAUUUAAAGAAAAUAUUGUAUUGUAAUGUACCUGUGGAUGGACCAUCGAUCCUCCAGCUGCCAAUGAAUAAGCAGUGCUACCCGAUGUUGUUGAUAAAAUUAACCCAUCACCUUGCACACAUGUGACAAAGGAGUUGUCACAAUAGCAUUCCAAAUUUGUGAGGUAGGAUGAUAUUCCACGGUCAAUCGUAACCUCAUUCAGAACAAGUAUAGGCUCGUCAGUUUCAACCUCAUUUGUUGCUGCAUCUCUAAUGACAUGGCAUUGUAAACGAUGUCGCAAUGUUAUAUUAAUUGGACCCCUAAGAAUUGAAUCAAGGCAAUCUCUGUAAUGUUCACUAUCUAAAAAAUGUUAAAGGAUACUUUUUGAGUUCAGACAAAGAGAAGGUAAUAAAUAUUUAAAGCAAUUGUAACUCCUGCAAAAGAGAAGCCAGUAUUAGCAAUGGAGAAUUUCUUUUCCACUUGAGGAAUUAAACUUCUUUGGAAAAUAUUAAGGAUACGAAACGGUGUCAUAAAGCCAAGAGAACCUAGAGAAAACGGAACAAUGGGAGGAACUGGUCCUUUGAACAUAGAUGCUGCCUGCAAGUAAAAAAAGGCAGAUAGUAACUUCUCCAAAGGCAGAUGAAAGGAAGAGAAGCACAAAAUAAAAAUAAGGCAGAUGUGGAUCAAACUGAAAGAACAUACCCAAAGAACAGUACCAUCCCCACCAAGAGUAACUACAAGAUCAACUUUUUUGUGCAGUAGAGAAAUUUCCUUGUCUGCGAACGAGUUCAUACAUAGUGAAAUAUCCAUAAAUAAAAAAGCAAAAUAUUGUGUCCCACAAAUUUGAGUUCAAACAGUGUUUAUAUUAGCAGUAGUGAAAUUCACUUGGUUAAAUCAAUGAUUCGCUAUAAGAUUGUGUAGCAAUUUACCAUCUUUCCAUGUUUUCACAAAGUUGAAGUAAGACGAUUCUGUCAGAAGUUCACCCCUCACACGUGGUUCCACGUAAAUGUUUAACUUUUUAUUUUCUUCCAACCAUCUGGUAAUGGAAAUUGAAAAAUUAGGCACAGAAAAUUUUUUGCUUAAUUGCACAAGCAUUUGUAGAUAAGAACUAUUAAUAUCAAACUACGAGCUCUGGAACAAUUUAGAUAUUCUUUUCAGAUAAAGAAAUGAAAAUAAUGCAACACGAGAAACCACAAUUAAAACUCUUUUCUAUAGAAUAUUUUCCAAAGCAUUGAGGAACUUCAUCGUGAAAUGUACAUUAUUAACAGAUACAUGUUCAUGGUCAGUAAAAUCAUUUACAAAUACCUACACAAUAAUGAAAGCAACUAAAUUGAGAAACUCAUUUCAGAAUUGAAAAAUGUAAAACAAAAAAAAAAAAAAAACAAUCAUAUUAUGCAAACCUCAGCAUAGCUGAACAUAAAAUUCGAACAGAAAUUGAAUUUGGUUUGGUGAAGAUAAGCACAGUCUGCGGUUUAGAUUCCCACUUCAAAGAAAUCUGGAGCAACGAAAAAAGGAGUAUUUGGUAAGACACAUACAAGGGAACUGAUUCCUAAUAGAAGCAUCAAAGUUCUCCACAGGAAAUACGAAAUAAGUCAGAUAUAGUUAGUUAUGUGCACGUAUAAUACCAUAACAGUAUGACUAGAACUAGAUACAAAACUUCACAUGUAGCCUUGCAGAAGCAAUACCUGUUUACUGUGGCGCUCUGCAGUUGUUAUAUUUCCUCUUGCAAAAGAUACAACUUCAUGUUUGUGCUGAUCACUAUCUUCACCUUUGCUGCACCAUGAAAGUUUAAAAGAAGCCUGUUUCACAAUGCAAAAUGGGAGAAAAUUAAACAUUAUGGUUAAUUGUCACGACUUGAAAAGUUCUCAAUUCAUUACUACAACUCAUAAGGAACGAUAUUGCCAGAAUUUCUUGUCAAUUUUUGAGGAUGUAUGUAUAUAAUCACUAAAACAAAUUAGAAAUAGCAUUAUAGAUAACAAUAACAACAAAAGCAGUAAAGAAAAGCUCUCCAAAAAUGUGCUGUAGGUCCUAAGUAGGACAUGAGUAACCUUAAGAAAUGUCAAUAAUAUUACCAAGACUAGUGGGUUACCAUCCAAACAUGUAAUGUUGUGAACCUAGAAAAAUUAGACAACAUGCAAUUAAACUAUAAGCAUCAUAUAUAAAGUAGCUUGCCAACAAAGAUGCACAUCUGAAAAAUUUACCUUUCUCAUAAUCCUACUCUUAACCAUCAUGGGAUCAGAGUCAGUCUCUCCAUCUUGAAGAACUUCAUGAGAGCAAAUCCCAUUGGUACAACAAUCUUCAGAUUGUCCAUUUGUGCCAUUACUCGAAACUAACAGGUUUUUUGAGUUCAAUGUCCUCUCUUUGUUACAAUCACCAUUGCACUCCCUGGGUAAAUGUUCUGCAGCACAAGCCAUCAAAUUCCUACUUAAAAAGGGGUGCAAAACAGAUUGAAAAAUUCGAAGAACGUGAAAAUGUCAAUGCACACAGAAAGAAGAGAUUCAAAAUGAUCAGCUUAAGAUGCAUAGGAACCAAAAAAGUUCGGGACUGUAAAAGACUUCAUUGGUUUUCAGUUGAUUUAACAAAAUGAGACCUCUUUCCCAACCAAAGCUGCUAUCAAGCUUCAUAAGCAGAAGUGGAAGAGUUUACCGAAGAGACUACCACCAUUUUGAAAGAACUAGACUUCCCUUCUUUCCUGUCUUUGUUAUGGAAUAUUAUGGUAAUCUGACGAGGGUACGGUUUAUUGGCUAAGAGUAUAUCUCUACAAAGCUGUAGGACUCAAAUUUCCUCCAUCUGUUUGAAAUUAAAAACUGUUGUACCAAUGCCCAGACAUUCAUAUCCAACAAAAAUAUUCAGGAAAAAGAAACUAACAACAAUGGAAAAAGGCCUUCUUGAAGAGGUUACAUCUUGAAAGGAUCUCAGAAUCCCAUGGGUUCCUUCUCAACUGCUGAUGACAAGAACUCUAAUAGUGCCAGGUAAUUCUUGUGAAAGGUGUGCUGUUCUCCAAUCUUCAGCUACAUUAUCAGCAACCAAGUAUCCUUAAGGAAGCAUGACGUGAAAUUUACACCACCAAUACAAUUCCUCCCCCGCAACUUUUACAGAAUUUCACUUCAAUCAAACUUAUCCUAGAAGCUUAAAUUCAUAAUCAGUCAUGGACCAAGCAAAAUCCCAUUAAAAUUUGUAGAAACAGCGGAGGUAUGUCCUAAAACUAAAGAGGGAAAAGGAAACGAGGAAGGUAUCUGGUAGCAUUUUUAUCCUAGUGACAUAUCCUCAAGCAGGUAUCCUAUUCUACAAUCACAAACCUCCAGCAGCUUCUUGGGGUUCAGAACCUCAAAUAGCAAAGAAGGGAACUAUUUUGCCAAUCAAACACACUAGAUAAUCUCCUGCUCAGCUCAUAUACUAGACUUCCAUCUCAAAAUUCUCUACUUCAAUCCACUAAGAGGUCCCAGAUCGUACCAUCAGACAAGUUAUGGACAGCCUAGAAAUUGCCUUAGACCUCAUAUUCCACCUUCAGAAUCUUUAAUAACUAAACAUAUCAAAGUUACCCGGAUUCCCAUAGUCCUAUAAUAACCAAUAAGUGGCACAUACUCCAAGGGUUUCAGUAUUUUUAACUCCAAAACAAUUGACUCUGAUGCUAAAAGAAACCGCAUCUUUUGAAAAAAGAAAUGCACUUCUUUAUUCAAGGACAAAUAUAACUAGCAAUUCUACGUGAGUAAAAGCAGGUACCUUCAAAGACUCUCCUAUUCUGUUCUUCCCAGACUUCCCAGCAAACAACGCAUAUGGGAGCAUUAAUUUUAUGAUUCCCAUUGCAUUACACAUAGAAAUCUGAGUCCACCAACUUCGAAGCAUUUCAGAUAUAUUUUUCCCUGAUAGUGGAAUAGCCAUAAUCUGAUGAUACUGAGUCUGAAUUCAAUUAGUAAGCUUACCAAGCCAAACUUUCAAUCGUUCACUACUUAAAUGAGUGAAAAAAAACUAAAAUCAAAAUCCAAUAGCAUAAUACAUUCUUAGAUUAGGAAACGUUUUCCAGUAUCUCCGUUUUGUUUUUCACAAGGUGCAGAAAUUUAGCAGCCAAAAAGUAAAUAAAAAGUGACAAUCAUAUCUGCCAAAUGACGGAGAGCAAAGCAAGGAGCAAAGGAGACAGUAUUGAAGAAAAUAUGUUCAAUGCCCCUAAAUUUAAGAGCAUGCCAAAAUUAAAUGAGAGAUCAAAAUUUUCAUUUUCCUAGUGAAGAUUCUAAAAAUCUCAUGCCUUGUUCUGUUGGUGUUCAGGGUUAAUAUAGAACAUUACAUGAUUUCAAAUCAUGCACUGGAUUCUAUUCUGAAACAUAUAUCUUUCAAAAAAAGGUCAGCCUUCAAUAUCGGGUCCUGUGCUAGGUCAACCAGGCCAGAUCAUGAGCGAAUAGAAAAAUGUUCAACACAUGACUCCUAGACUUAUUCAUGAAAACUUGUUUUCAACAUAAUUGUAGGCAAUGAAUAAGAUACCUACUGCAUGAAAACUAAUAUGCCAUUUAUGCAUGUUUAUUUAACUAUUAGAAACCUUUACGCUGCAGCCGCUGAUUUCUUUCCCUCUCCAAUUCAUAUCUACGCUUCCAUUCAGCAGCCUCAGCUUGAGCAAAAGCUUUUCCUUCAGCCACUCGUCUCAAUGUCUUUGCAACAGCUAAUGUGUAAAAUGGCAUGUCAGAUUCAUAACUGUGGCAUAUAGUUUCAGUAAAGGAAUGUGUAUGUUCAAAAAACAAAUUUGACUAUACUUCUUAGUGCCUCUGAGAACUCUAUAAGAUGUUCAUCAGUUCCCUGAAUAGGAGUCUGUUGAAGAAGCUCCUGCACUUCCUUCUCAGAAAGUGAAUUAUCUAGCUGUGAACAUGAAAAACUCACAUCUCCAUUUCCAUUCUGUGCUGCCUUCUCAGAAUGUAAGAUAGGAAGUGAAUUAUUUAACUGUGAACAAGAAAAACUCACAUC
rnacentral:lncRNA from 1 species